rnacentral:lncRNA from 1 species
UUCCCUGGCUUGUAGAAUCCUCAGGACCCUGCUGCGGUCUCCACCAUCGCCCACGUCGUCGAUGACAACGCUGUCCCGCACCUUGCGCUUCUUGCCCGUGCCGGUGCUGGUGCCACCAUUGAUGGCUAGACUCAAGGUCAGGUUCAUGUACGCCUUCCAGCUUCCACGACACCGGCCUACACGAUCCUCAGCUUCUCACGGACCAAACUGACCUCUCCAAGAAUUCUAAAGAAUCGAACGCACAACACACGGCGCCGGCGGCGAUGGCGACAACGGAAGGGGGGCGGAGGUGGGGGAGGAGGAAGGAAUGAUCUCGGCCACGGUGAAGGUUAUAUAUAAGCCACCAAGAGAAUCAAGGAGAUCUUGUCAAAAGGAGAAAGAGAGGGAAUAGCGUGUAGCUUUGGAUGCAAGAAAUGCUCCGAUAUGCUGCCCGGUUCGUUUUGGCUUGUUCCCCGGCGGCGUGGCCUUUGGCUCCAAGGAUAGGAUAUGCCGGUGGAGGCGUUCGUUGGCUGCCUCUUUGUUUUAUGCUCGGAGGAUCUUCCUCUUCUGUCAACCCGGGCACCAGGCCACCACUCCCCUGGCCUUACUUGGAAAACAUUGUUCAAAGAUAGUGUUAACAAUGUGGGAUUAGUGCAGAAUAGAGACCAGUUUAUACGAUGUGGAUGUCUUACAUGUCGUAUAUGUGCUUUCGAUGGCAUCUUUUUCGUGCUGGAAGGUGUGCUUUUACACUGUAUAGCAUGGUGUAUACGACCAAGUGGGGUGUAUAAUAGACAUGACAAACCUCGACGGGUACAAAGUUUAUACGGUUUAAUUCAGUUCUCAGACGCUAGAUUUCUCUACUAAGUUAGUAGCAGCUUAGCACAGGAUAUUGACUCAGGAGGCAUCAUCGUAUACGUCAAGGCCCAUCGAGCAUACGUUCUGUGGACUUGACUUUGUGCUUUUUUUUUUAAUAAAGGAAUAGUUCAGUAUCCCGGCCUCUGCAACACGGUAUAACAUAUCCAGCCUUUAUUACAGAAGGAACCACAAAUGAAUGAAAGAGCGAAGAUCAAGGUAACGAGCUUAUAGGCAAAGCAUAUUAGUAAACCCCCACCCGUUCUUUGCGAAAAUCUCCAUUGCCGUGGUCUUCAAAGCUCGACAAGCUCCUGGUAUAGUGUCCCGAUCCUCCACCUUCUGCAAUAAAAUUUUGAUCCAGUGAGUAGCUCUGAAAAGAACCUACAUGCAAGUUUGUUUAUCUACUUUAUCAAAAGUAAAGUCAUUUCUACCGAGCCAUAUGGCCCAACAAAUAGCACUUACUCCUGUUAGAAUUAGAUUCUUUUCUUUCCACCUUACCCCUUGUAGCCAUGACCCAAACAUAUGAAUAAUAUUAUUUGGUUUUUCUAAGCCAAAGGUGGUAUGAAUUAUUCUACAAAUCAUCCUAGCCAUGUGACACUCAAAGAAGAGAUGUUGUAUAGUCUCGUUAUUACUACAGUAACAACAUUUAUCAUUUCCAUGCCAAUUCCGUCUAGCCAAGUUAUCUUUAGUAAGAAUAACCCGUCAGUGAAAGAGCCAUAGGAAAACUUUAACCUUAGGGGAAGUUUUAAUUUCCAUAAGAAUUUGUUAAUGGGAAGAAUCCUCCCAUCCAGUAUCGCUCUGUACAUUGAUUGAACAGAGAAUAAUCCACUUCUAUUUAAUGACCAAAUGAACAUGUGGUCCACAACCAGGAUGCUUGCAAUCCGCGUCACCAACUCAUGCCAAUUCAUAAGAUUAUUCCCUCUUAGAGCUCUCCUGAAGGAAAUGUCAAGAGGGAUUGAAGCCAUGACCUUUUUUACGGUGUCAUGCUUCCUAGUUGCCAGAUUGUAAAGUGCUGGGUAUUGCUCGCUAAAGAUUGUAUUUCCUAGCCACUUAUCUUCCCAAAAUCUUAUUUGUUCCCCAUUGUGCAAUUUAAAGGUCAUGUAAUUAAGGAAGUCUUAAUUAAGGAAGUCUUCUUUGACGUUCAUUAACCUUGACCAAAAAUAUAAGUCUCCUGGCUUUUUCUCUAUCUCUACCUGAGAGAUUGUUUUGGAGUCUAAAUAUUUAUUUUUUAGGAUUUGUUGCCAGAUUCCAUCCCCAUUAAGGAGCUUGAAAAGCCAUUUACUUAGGAGACAUUUGUUUUGGGAUUUCCAAAUCCAAAAUUCCUAGACCUCCUUGCUCUUUUGGUCUACACAAGAUAUUCCACUUUGUUAAUCUAUAUUUUCUUUUUUUGCCCGUCUUCUUGCCAGAAGAAUUUGGACCUAAAAUAAUCCAAUUUCUUAAGGAUUUCUUUUGGAAUUUCAAAGAAGGAAAUCAUGUACACAAAGAGAUUGCUUAGGACUGAGUUAAUCAAGGUUAGCCUGCUGCCAUAGGAGAGCAUCUUGCUUUUCCAUGUGCUCAGUUUCCUUUCAAAUCUUUCCUCUAUAAUUUUUCAAUCUUUAUUCCGGAUUCGGGUGUGGUGCAUUGGAAUGCCAAGAUAUCUAAAAGGGCCUCCCCAAUAGGACAUCCGAAGAUGUCCAUAUACUCUUGUUCGGCCUCUUUCGCAUAUCCAUAGCAAAAAAGCUCACUCUUAUGGAAGUUUAUCUUGAGACUAGAAAGGUGUUCAAAGACUGUUAGCACAAGCUUCAUAUUUUUUGCCUCUUCCAAGUUGUGAUCCAUAAAAAGAAUUGUAUCAUCUGCGUAUUGUAAUAUGGAUAGACCAUCAUCAACUAAAUGUGGAAUUAAGCGUGAAAUUUGUCCAUCCUCCUUCGCCCUUGCUAUCAAUGUUGCUAACAUAUCCACAACUAGAUUGAAAAGUAGCGGGGAGAGUGGAUCGCCUUGUCUCAGGCCCUUUUUUGUUUGAAAAAAAUCUUCCAACAUCAUCAUUGACUUUAAUACCUACACUACCCUUUGAGACAAACGACUCAAUCCAUUUGCACCAUUUUUCUAAGAAACCUUUCAUUCUUAAGGUUUUGUUGAAGGAAAGGCCAAUUAACCUUGUCAUAAGCCUGUUCAAAGUCCAUUUUCAAAAUAACCCCAUUUAAUUUCUUUUUGUGUAAUUCAUGUAAGGUCUCAUGCAAAAUGACCACACCUUCAAGAAUAUAUCUUCCAGGCAUUGAGUAGGGCGGAUAAUCUUGUCCGCAAUUCCUGUCAAUCUAUUUGCUGCUACCUUUGUGAAGAUUUUAAAACUAACAUUAAGAAGGCAUAUUGGUCUAAACUGUUGUAUUUGAGUUGCCUCAGUUUUCUUUGGUAGAAGUGUUAUAACGUCGGAGUUGAGGCUGUGCAGAGGUAAGAUGCCUUUAUGGAAAUCAACAAACAACACCAUUAGAUCAUCCUUGACAACUUCCCAAAAAGCUUGAUAGAAUUCAGCUGGAAAGCCAUCUGGUCCGGGCGCUGUUAUGUUCCAUUUGAAAAAUAGCAUUCCUAACCUCUCUGUAAGAGAACUCAGCAAUCAAUGUUUCAUUUUCAUCUGUUGAUACCUAUGGAAUGUCGUCCCUUCGACUUUCGUCUAGAGUUAAAAGACUAGUCUCUGAAGGUCUAGAGAAACCAUGGUAAUAAUCAGUGAUAUAUUUCUUUAACACCUAAUCUCCUUUAAUUAUUUUGUCUCCAUCUUCCAACUGGAAAAUUCUUGUUUUUCUAUGUUUCCCAUUGGCUAUAAGUUGAAAAUAUUUUGUAUUACUAUCUCCUUCAAGGAGAUUUAUGGUUUUAGAUCACUGGUACCAUUUUAUUUCUUCCUCCCUAAGAAGUUGGAUCAGCGUUACUUUGAGAGUCUGUUUAAGAUCAAUCUCCCAAAACUGUAACACUUCAUUUUCUGCCUUUUUGUCCAGCAUAUCUAACUUUGUAAUAAAUUCUUUUUUCUCUUUUUUUGUAAUGACCACUUUUAUUUUUCACCCAACCCCUUAGAAAUUGGCGUAAUCUUCUAAUUUUAUUUUGACAUCUUUCCAUUGAUGUUUUCCCUUUAUUUUCUUCCUUCCAAACCUUAGCCAUCACCUGGUAGAAAUCAUCCCUAGUCAACCAACCCAAUUCAAAUUUGAACAUUAGUUGUGUAGUGCUUAGAGGAUCAUCACCAAAGGAUAAAAGAAGUGGUGUAUGGUCUGAUGCUAAUUCUCUUGGUAGAGCAUGUACUAUAGCACGGGGAAAUUUUAAUUCCUAUUUCGUUGAGACCAAUACCCUAUCCAACCUCUCAAAAGUAGGUUCUAGUAGUGAAUUGGCCCACAUGAAUUGCCAUUCUGUUAGCUCUAUUUCUUUUAAAUCCAAACUGUUUAUAACAACAUUAAAGAGAAAAGGCCAUUUAUCAUUAUAGCGAUCAUUGUUUUUUCUGAGGGGCUUCUAAUAAUGUUAAAAUCUCCAAGUAGGAGGGGCAAGGAUUCAUUUUGGCAACAGUGGACCAACUCAGUUAAGAAGCUUUGUUUUUGCUCAUGUUGAGCAGCUCCAUAAACUGCAAUCAAAUUUUAUUGGAAGCCAUCAAUCUUAUUCCUUACACGAAAUUUGAUAUAAUAGUCCCCCUAGGAAAUGAAGCCUAUGUCAAAAACAGCUGGAUUGAUUCCUAAAAAGAUUCCACCCGAAUGUCCCUGGGUCCCGUCCAACUCCAUAGGAGUUGUUUCCCACCACAAAUACUAUUAAGCUCUGCAUUUGUGUAAUCAGCUCUACAAGUUUCCAGAAGAGCGAUAAAGUCAAGUUGUUGUUCUUUUGUAGUGUCUGAUAAAAACCGAAAUUUAGUCAAGUCACGAAGACCUCCGCUGUUCCAAAAAAUACCUUUCAUUUGACACUAUUUAUUUUUAUAUUUUUCUUUUGUUGUUCUUUUGUAGUGUAUGAUAAAAACCGAAAUUUAGUCAAGUCAUGAAGACGUCCGCUGUUCCAAAAAAUACCUUUCAUUUGACACUAUUUAUUUUUGUAUUUCUCUUUUGAGCCUUCCUUUCGUUUGCUAACCCAAAAGACGUUGAAAUUAUUUUUGUAUUUUUCUUUUGUCUUACUUUUGUCUUUGCUAACAUUGUAUGUUUUGAAAUUUUGGAUUUUGAUUUUUGCUUAGGCUCAAGUCGAUAAAUAUCACCUUGGGACUUUGUGCUUGGAGUUAGAGGACAUGGAACCGGUAAAAAUGGUGGAAAGGGGUGGUUGGGAGGGAGGUGAAAAAGGUGCCGGCAAGAAGAUGCGACGAAGGGAAGGCGAGUGGACGAAAGGGUGGGAGGAUAUGACCGGCAAAAGGAGAAAAAAGGCAUCUGAGAGACGGUGACACUCGAGUCUAUCAGACAGACCAUCAACCAUCGAUGAGGUCCACCGGUCACUGUCCUCCGUUCAAGAAACACUGGUCCGUCCUAGAAAUAUGCGACAGUUGCAUUGGAUCAUUCUGUUCUUCUCUAACCACUGAAAGCUCUAGAUUUUUCAGAAAAUGAAAUCGCGUAGUGCUGGUAACAUUCCUUUAGAUUUUUGGAGUUUCCUUACGUUUACCUACUUCGCUGGUAAGUGUUUUCCAGACGCUGAAACCUGGUGUCCAGUAGGAGGUACAGAUUGCAUGCUAAGGCAUGACGACAAAUUACAAAGGGUAGGCAAGGUAAAGGGAAAGGUCAACCAAAAGGAAUGGUUGGUUCGUGCCACCAGAACAAUUUUGAAAAUGUCAAGAGCCCGUGCUGGGUACUUCAAAACAAUACUCCCUCCGUUCCAAAUUGUAGGUCAUUCUAGCAUUUCUAGGCAUAUACUUGCUCUCAAAGGUAAUCAAGAGAACACGAAAAUUUAGACAGGUUCGGACCUCCAGAGAGUAAUACCCUACGUCCUGAGUUUUGCUGGUUUAUAUUGCUUUGCGCGGGUGCGAAGAAUAGAUCGGACGGGAUGCCCUCGGGAGGCGCCCUUGGCCACCUUAUAUAUGCUGACAACCUAGGGUUACAAGUCGGUUUGAAUCUAAUCCUAGUCGGUUGUUACAUGGAAAGCAAUAGGAAUCGGAUUACAACAAGUAUCCCGCAAUAUCCGGGCUGAUUUGAAUCGUCCGGCCUUCUUGACUUGCGCUCCAAGUAUCUUCACGUUCUUGGUCCGCACGUUUUGGUUGAGCGGGCCAACUUGCCAGGGUCGGCCAGUAUCCUGAUCGGUGGGGACCCAUAGGGUACCCAUAUUCCUCAAGCCCCCGAGCGAUGUGUAGGCGAACAUGAACCUGAGGACAACGCAGCGAAGCUUGGAAUGUGGUCGGCUGAAGCUGUGAUGGCAUCAUAGUGACGGAGAGGCUGCACAGUGCUUAAAAAGAAGAAAAUUCGAGCGAACACAGAGCUAUACCCGCAGAGCGAAGUCGAGUGCUGAGUUGAUAGAUGACGGGCAUCCAAUAAGCCAAAGCGAAGGACAUGGAGGGCGUCGCAAGACGCACUCCAUAUGGAGUACCCCCCUUCUGGUCCUCGACGAGCAUGGCGGUGGCUUUGGCCAAGUACUCUAGGGCUUCAACGAGUUGUACCACCUCCGUGUCGCACUUGUAUGACGUCUCAACGUCACCGUAGAUGUAGAGGACACCGUUUGAAGCCGACAUCUUAAGGACGAGGUAGGUGUGAUGCGGAAUCGCCAUGAACCUCGCGAGCAUCGGUCCACCUCGAAGGUGAGGUGCUCCAUACGGUAGUUGUUGGGCGUGCCAAAGGUAGCUGGUAAAACAACUCGAGCGAUAGGAUAGGAUCCUUUGCGAGGCACGGUGCCAUAGAAAGGGUCUUCACAGGGCUGGAGCCGGUCAAAAUUGAAGUCCAUACGUUUCAGGGUUUCGGUGAAGAUAAUGUUGAGCCCGCUGCCACCGUCAAUUAGCACUUUGGGGAGGAGAGCCCGGUCUAUGGUCGAGCAGACCACCAACGGGUAGGACCCGGGAUCUGAAUGUGGACCUAGUGAUCUUUCUUGGAGAAGGUUAUGGGCAUCUCCGACCAACGCAGAUACUGGACUGGCCGUAUGGAGACGAAGUGUACCUCUCGCUGGUGCAGCUUGUGUUUACAAUUGCUGCAGAACGCCUUGGGGGCGCCCGUGAUGACGUUGACUUGACGGUUCGGCGCCGGCUCGGUGGGCGUCCGGGUUUGGCGGGACUGUGUAGUCCCGGAGAUUGUGACGUGCAUCCUUAGGGAAGGGGCAUAGAGCGUUCAGGGUGUCGUCAAACUCUUCCCGGAGGAAGGUAGUUGGUAUGAUGGGAUCAGCUUCUGUAGUGAGGACCUCGGGGGCCCUUUUUCGAAGUCGGGAAGACUCCGGUCGUGCUUGGUGUUCCUCCUCAUAGGUCGACAAUUCAUGGUCGUCGUUUUGGCGAUGCUUGCCGCCCUGGAACUGUACUUGCGCCACCUCCUUUGUGUCAGCCUGAAUGUUGACAAGUUGCAUCAUCUGCUCGACCGUCUCAGCGGCAACCUCAUACAGCUUGCAGAACAUGUUGCAGUUCAUCAGGCCGGAGCGGAAGUACCAGAUGCCGUCGCGGUCCUUGAUGCCGACCAGCCUGCUACGGUUCUCGUACUCUCGGAGAGUUUCAUUCUUCCGCUGACGAACUUGCCCAAGAUUCUCCGUGUUUCCAGGUUGGCAGUAGGUAGCCUGGUAGUUCUGGGUGAAAGCCCUAGCAAGCUGACCCCAGGUGUUGAUGCUGCUCGGUAGGAGGUUCUCUAGCCACAGGAGAGGAGCGGGACCCAUCACCACGGGAAAUAGGUAGCCAUCUGGUCAUAGGUGCCGUUGGCGGCUUUCACUGCGGUGUUGUAUGUUUUGAGCCAUAUAGUGGGGUCAGAGCGAUCGUCGUACUUUUCGUUGAUAGCCGGCUUGAACGAGGAAGGCCACUCAACGGCCUUGAGGCGGGAAGUGAAGACAGCGAAACCAUCAAUUGCCGUGUCGUCGUCGUCCUCGAGGUUGUAUUCGACGGGUGGUGCCCUGGGGCGUCCAUCGUUGUUGCGCCUGGGCGGGACAUAGGUGUCUUCAGGGGCGCCGUACAUGAUGUCGUAGUCGGCACGGCAACGCAUCUCGUCUUCUUGGCGUUGGCGGUCCUCCUAUUCCACGUCGCGGUUUGGCUCGCCGUCGAGUCCAGGAGCGCCGUAGUCGCGGUCGUACUCAGCGCGGCAGCGGAGCUCGGCCUCUUCCCACUCUUGAUGGCGAUUGUUGAGGUCGGCGCAGAGGUCGCAGCGGUCGCGUAACUAUUUGCAGAGGUAAUGUUGCCGACCUUGUCUGCCACGGUUCUCGCCAUCGCCUCUCCUGCCACCGUGGCGGUUGUCGUGGUUGUUGAGUUGAUGGGCGUUGUUGGCGAGUGGGUUGGUGAGUUGCUCCACCUCCUCUUCACAGAUGGGCUCCAGCCGACCUCUCGCGUGGUUACCAUGGUCGCCUCGGUGGUGACCGGAUCUGCUAUUAGCGGAUCAACUUCGAGAGUGCCGGGUAGAUGUGGACCAGGAGUAUGUUGACCGGCUCCGGGCUCGCUCUUCGAUCUCGGCGUUGGUGACGCGGAUACGUGCCCAGAUCCGCCGAAGUGGCUCCGAGUAUGGAAGGUUUUCCAAGUCGGCGAAGGUAGCCCCCCAGGUUAGCCUGAGGUGUGGUGAAGACGUUGUGGCCGGCCUCCUGGAGGUCGGCUUGUAGAUUGCAGGCGCGCAUAUGGCGCCUGCUUAUGCCCCGGGCACCGUCCUGAUCGGCGUUGUCACCAUCGUUGGCGCGCGGUGGGUCGGCGUUGGUGGCGGGCGGUGGUCGGCGCUGGUCGCCUGCUGCCUCGGCUCCCAUGUUAGCAGCAGGUUGUUGGCGUUGCUGGGCGUCGGCUUUACUCCCGUUGGCGCGGUACUGCACGGUCCCGAUUCUUGGCAUUGUGACCUUCUUCCUGGGAAGAGGUUUCGCCAUCCCUGGACGGAUGGUCGACGGAGACCAUGAAGGCUUCGCGAUCUGACGUGGUGGAGUUGCUCUCGACGUCGUCUCCAUAAGGGUUCAGAAUCAGGACGAUACGGGGGAUCUGGAACUUGCCACAGUCCGAAAACUGGGUGACUCGGGGUGGGUCUUCAGAUUGGAUCUGAAGAGACUGCACGAGUUUCGCGAAAAACACGGUAGCCGAGUUCCUCAGACCAAAGGGGGUGCGGGAAGGACCCUGCGCCGACCUUGUUGGGCGUAGCGCUGUCUUAGAGAGGUUGAUGCACUCAGCAAUGGGGUUGCUGAUGCGAUCUAGCCCCACAAUCAGGUCGGAGGGCGUAGGUGGAUGGGUUGCAGCAAGGAUGUUGGGAAUCCUCUCAAAGAGGGAGAGGUCGCCGAUCUGCUGGGCGAGCGGCACGAAGGUCUCCGGGUGGAGGUCUUGUUCUACUGACGCAGAUCCAACGGACGUCGAGAUAGCGAUGGAUGCCGAGUUGACGAGGGAAGCGGCGAAAUCGGAAUCCGCCGGCAUGAUCCCAAAGCGAAGCUGGAUCAGGUUGACAAGGAUGUCCUUCAUGCUCUCGGGGAAGAUGACGCCGGGACGAGAUGCCAUCAAGCUCGCUAGAGAGGAUCUCACAAUUGCCCCUGGCACGCUAACUGUCGGAUUUAGUAGCCCGGCAGUCCACCAGGGGGUUACCCAAGUGGUAGAUUUGCAGGCAGGGAGGAUUGUGAGACCAAGAACUUGAAGUUAAUCACGAGAACACGAAGGUAGACAGAUUCGGGUCUCCGGAGAGCAAUACCCUACAUCCUGUGUUUUGCUUUGCGCGAGUGCGAAGAAUAAAUCGGAUAGGAUGCCCCCACGAGGCGCCCUUAGCCACCUUAUGUAGGUUGACGACCUAGGGUUUCAAAUCGGUUUGAAUUUAAUCAUAAUCAGUUGUUACAUAGAAAGUAAUCUAAGUUGGAUUACAACACGUAUCCCACGAUAUCCAAGCUAAUUUGAAUCGUUCGGCCUCCUUGACUUGCGCUUGAAGUAUCUUCGUGUCCUUAGCCUGCACGUGCCAGGGCCGGCCAGUAUCCUGGUCGGUGGGGACCCAUGGGUACCCAUAUACCUCAUGUAGCAAAGUUUUUUUUAAGUAAAUACGUAGCAAAAGUUAUGAAUGUAAAAAUACCAAAAUAUCUGUACUUUUAUACAAUUUGGAACAGAGGGAGUAGAACUCAAAGUGCAUAAAAUAUCUGUACUUCUGUACAAUAGCAGUAAGUACCAUGCCCGUCUCGAAACGUCACAAAGUGCCAAGUCCAAACGUAAGACUGUCCCGCACCUUAAAAAUCAUCGGUAGGUAGUAAGUACGGCAUUCAUGUGUACUGCCCACUGCCCUCUGCGUGAUUCCACUCCAUUAGUCAAUAGUUCUAGAAUGCAAGUAUAUUCAUUCAAAACCUAUGGAGCAGUACCGGAUCGAGCGCCAAUCACUAUACCAUAGCAAUCAACCUUUUUGAGGUUAUGGAAACUUGUAUAGCGUGCCGUAGGAGCAAAUUCGUACUAAAUUCGUACUAAAUAACAUUGCUAGAGUACUUUGUACAUGAUGUACGGCUGCAUUCCCAAAUUCAAUUGCAGCUGUUCAUCCAGAAUGGAUCACUACAUCGUGAAUUGCAGAAUUUGCGACGCUAUAUUUCUGAAUGCUAAUGCAAUUAUCAUCACCAACACACUAUGGUAUCUGCUUAUUGUCCCAUAUAUGUAUGGUUUUUCAUUAUUCUUCUCUGGUCGACAUUUCAAAUGCUAGAUUGACAAGGAUUCAGGCUUUUGGAUUUCCGCUGCUCCGUAUUUUGAUGUAUACUAAGUUCCCAUUUGGGAUAAGAGUACACUAGAUUCAGGAAAACUUCUUCCACAUAAAAAGCAAGCAUAUACACGUCAAUAUAUUGCAAACCUCUUUUCCACAUCGGAAAUCACCCACACUGCACAGUAAGAAUGCUUGCAGAUCAGCAUGGAAUGUGCACGGCAGCAAGAACCAAUAUUGAUGCCUACACAGAACCCAAAAUAUCAAAAUGACCAAACUGGCAAACUCUGAACAUCUGUGGGUGCAAACAGAUUCCACAUCAUUAUGUCCUACGAAAAGGCCAGUAUCUGGAUAUUAAAAGUCUAAAUUAGAAACAAGAUCAGUGGUUGCAAAAUAUAUCUUCACACCGGCAUACUAAAACACCAUGUUUUCUACAAUUGCAUCUGAAACUCAUAACACUUUUUAAAUUUCUCAUAUGUUUGUGAAGUGUGAGAAGAAAUCAUAAGAUCACAUGAUUGCAUUGAGAAAAUAUUACCAACUGGAUGAUACCAAGAAACCACUGGAUUCAACAGUUUUACUAUUGAGAUUGCAGCAGAAUGAUUGAAGCAUACAGGUUUCAAUAUGCAAAAGCUAUGCAUCUGCCAACACAAGCACAAGAACUGUACCUGGUCGUGUGCAAGCUUAAUCCGGACACCUUAAUGUGCUCCCAAAGUCCUUUGGUUGAUUCUGACACAGUUCCACUGUUAUCUACAUUAUAAUUCGAUGACCUAAUGUAGAAUCACAGAAAUUAGCCACCGAAACUAAAAUUACUGGAAUAUGGGAAAAAUAAUGACAUAUGAUCAAUUAAAAUAUUAAUCAUGCUAUAUUUGAUCAAUCAAAUGUUAAUCAUGAGAAUUUCUAUGCUACUUCCUAUUGUUAAAUGGAUGUCAUUAGAUCUGACUGGUUCUAUCUAUAAUCAAGCGGUCCAUGCAACCAUAUAAUCCUUCAAAACUUGAAGGAAACAUUUUCCAUGAAAAUUCUAAUGAUUGGUGUUCAAAUACAUUAUGACUAUUCCAUCUGCACGAUCCUACUUUCAAUAUAGCUCCAAGAAAAUUAAAUACCAACAGGAUUACCAUGAAUUCAUGCUAGUUGGGCCUUGUCUUCUUCUAACAGUAAAUGAAUGAUGGACCUGACCACUUCAUUGUCAACAAAAGUUGCCAUCUGAAAUAAGACAAUAAAAUCAGUUAAUUGUAGAAAGGAAGUUAGAUAGCAGUGGAGCUGUCUAUUAUUAAAGCAAGUUAUACAUUCUUAGAGAUACAGUUCAUAGAUAUUAAGCAACUGUAUAAAGAGAUGGACAAGAGAUGCUACAGCUGUAUGACAUUUCCAGUACAUCAGCUGGCUGUUUUUCCCCGUUCUCAUGUUCAACAACAGGAAGACACACCAUACCUCUGGCUUUCUUGUCAGUUCUUUCAGAACAGCAUCAAGUGUUAUUCGAAGUUGCUUGAAUAACACAGCAGUCUGUGCAGCAGCAGACAGCCUCAACCAUCCAUCUAUAACAACCACCCCUGUCUGGAAACAGAGAUUAUCAGUUUCCCCUUUUGAGAAUUCAGAUAUCAUACACUAUACGACCAUGCAUACGAGCAUUCCUAGGACCUCUCCAAAAUGGAAAAAGAAAUAUUCUAUGUGAUCCACAUAGACCUGGGUCAAACUAAAAUACCUAAAGUAUACCCUCUUCUCAAUGUGGUCCCCAUUUUUCAGACAUAUUUUUCAAUUUUUGCAUAGAAGAUGGACAUGACAAGUGCCAACAUACAACACACUACCACCGGAAAACUCGCAUGGACAAAACCUUUCCAAAAGAAUCAGAAAAAUAAGAUCCUGUCAACUCAAGUGCCUCACAUAGAGAUAAAACGAGGAUGAUGGGAUUCCAGUAUGGUCUAGUGUUUGAUGAGAGUCAAAGUACCUGAUGUUGGAUCACCAUGGAACCACCAAACAGAAGGAGUGAGUAGGGGGAAAUGACACUAGUAUCACGUAAAAACACCUUUGUUGUCUCAACCUGGAAAUAAGGAACAGAGAUAGAAUCAUAGAAUGAAUAUGUCAACAUCAGAAAUUGGUAAUUCGAAUUCAACUUGGUUGGUGUGGUGACCAUAAAUCCAUAACCCUUGAUACUACGAUAUGCUCAAAUUGGGCAGUAUCAGCAAAAUAAAUUCGGACAUGCAAAUUUUCUCUGGAUCAGGUAUACAAGACUCAGUAUUAUGCAUAAUCUGGAAGCAAAGGUAGCAUCUAGACCAUUUGCCAUUGAUAAUAGUUGACACAAAAGCCAUAUAAAUAGAAGCAUCCCAAUUGCAUAAAAAAACUUUUCUAUGCAACAAGACGGUAAGUAGCAGCAGAUUAAACGUUAAAAAUAAAUACAUUUAAUCUCUGACAUGCCUCCGACACUUUCCCGACUAGGCCCCGACACGGCUUGGCCCAAGAAAGCAUCCCUGGCUGUGGGAAUAGCAGUGCCAUCCGAGCAUCCACACCUGUUGAUGCGGUUCUCCAGCGAAAUGAUGUCACUAGAGAUGUGAGGAGGAUGAGGGCUACUGAUUUUGCUAAUCACUGAUGGGAGAUGGUGGCCAUGGGUGGGUGAUCUGUGGCGGUGGCUUCGUGGCUCUGAGAGAGAAGCAGCGAGCAGGAAGAAGACGUACUGGCAGCUGCUUAGUAGUUUUGUGAAUCCUGGACAGUGAAGGCAAUUUGGAUGGAAUGGGGCAAGCCAUUUACAUGGAUGGAUGGACCGAAUGGGCCAGUAAAUGGCAGGCCAACAGCUUUUGCUUUCCUUUCUUCUUAUUAGUAUCUUUUAUAUAAAUCAGAACUUUGGUUUGUAUGCUGUAAUGUGGUUGCUUGAAUUUGAAUUUAGACAUAUUUUAUUAUAUAUAUGCCGUGUCGACGUGUCUGACAGGUAUCGUGUCUGAGUCAGUGUAACGUAGCAAAAAACAAGCAUAUACCUUUUCAAGAAACACCAAAAAUGGAUAUUGAACAGCUUUCAAGCUGUGGUUCACAGAUGAUGGAUGUAUAUGGACUUCUCGCCUUCCAUCAUACCAUCUAGGACGGUCCUUGCUGAACAGAAUAUCAGAUGGCUUUCUUCCACCUAGAGCUCCAGGAUCAACACCCUCCAAAGAUGCUGCAACAUUAGGGUAUAGACCUGCACAUAUGACCGACUGCACAACACAAAUGCCAUGUAAGCAUUUUCAUACACUGUAUUGACAUCAUAUCCAUUUACCAAGUGAAGCAAUUAGUAAAGUGAUAGGCAUGACAAUAGCAUGUUAUACUUACAACAAGCAACAAUACAAGAUCAUUCCAUCAACAUAGUUUAACAAACUUUUGGUACAUGUCCAAAAGUUGCUGACAGAUUAAAAGCAUUCCAAGCUCAUUCAAUCCAAAAACAAGAACAAAACUCAGGCCAUAAAUUUAUUCCUAUCUAAUGUAAGUGAGCUUUCAAUUUACACUGCAUUCAUUUGAGUUUUGGUAUUCUAGAUCUGAUCAAUAUGUGAAUCAUAUACAUGAAGAUACAUAAUCACUCGAUCAAUGAAACUGCAAUGCCACUACCAGAAUCAGCAUUCUCCAAAUUAAUCAUGAGUCGUUUUUCCUUGGAAAAGUAAACAAAGGGAAAUGGCUAGUAUUGGUAUACAAGGGGUAGAAAUCAUGCUAUUACCUUAAUAACUGAGGUGCAGCGAGCAUACGUGUUGAAUGGAAGAGACAUAUUAGAAAACCAGCUCUCAAGAUUACUUUUUCUACUCCCCUCCUUAGGCCUCUGGAAAUAGGAAAACCAAGUCAUAUUGGAAGAUUGACUUUGAUGUUUCCAUUCAGAUUAGAGAAAAUGUACUUACAAUAGUACAUCAUUGCUUAUGAACUUGCCAGUUAUUUUAGAAAGUUGAAGUCACUGAGGUCGAACUGAAUUUAAAACAUAAGUGGUUCAUGACAACUUUGUAAGUUAAGUACACAGAUUGCAGUCUACUAAAGUUUGUUUCUAUUAAGUAAAUUUUCAAAGUUUUCUGUCUGAGGAAGAGAGGAAGGGAGAUAGAACAGACUUGUUCUCAACCCAAACAUCCUAUUAAAAACACAAACGACAACUCUAUGAAAUAGACAUACCAUGCUAUCUUUAGGAAGAUCAAUAAGUCCAAUGUCAGCUAACAAUGUGCCAAACUGAAGACGCAUGUCCCUGCAAAGAAAAAUAUACCUGAUUAAAUAGCUGGAGUGAAUCAACAUAUCACAUGAGAAUCUUAGUUACUUCUAAGGAAAACUUGAAGACAUUUUCAUGAUUCAAUGAUAACCAAAAGUAGCUGCUGAACCGACUUUGUUUUGCAAUAUGAGAGUUCUGCAAGUAAAGAAAACAACAUAAUAAACAAAAACCUAACAGUUGCUUCUACAUAAGAAGAGAAGGGGCUUUGGGCCCAAGUGCCGGGAUAUGAUCAGUGGCUUGCUUGGCUCGUCAUCAACUAGGGUGCUGCUCAAUGGGGUCCCCGGGGAGGUUUUAUAUCACCGGCGUGGACUUCGGCAAGGCGACCCACUCUCUCCUAUGCUUUUUAUCCUUGUAAUGGAUGUCCUGAAUAGCUUGAUUGAAAAGGUGAGCACUGAAGGGCUGCUGCAGCCAAUUUCCACUCGAAGUAUCUAUCAUUGUGUCUCCCUGUAUGCUGAUGAUGUGGUCCUGUUCCUUCACCCAGUCACCACAGACCUGAAAAUGGUGGAUGCCCUGUUACAGUUAUUUGGUGCGUCUUCAGGGCUCAGAACAAAUAUUCAGAAAUGCAGUGUCUCACCUAUUCAAUGUUCAUUGUGGUUCAGACUCACUUUCCCUGUGUAGUUCAGGAGUUUCCCUGAAAUAUCUUGGUCUCCCUCUUUCCAUCAAGAAGCUGUCUAAGGCACAGUUACAACCUCUGAUUGAGAAGGUUGCUGAUCAUUUGCCAGGAUGGAAAUUUGAGUUGAUGAAUCGAGCUGGUCGUGCUACAUAUGUGCAAUUGGUUCUCACCUCAGUUCUGAUCUAUUUCGCCACUGCCUUGGAGCUUCCUCCAUGGUGCCUAAAGGCGGUGGAUAAGAUUCGUCGUAAUUUCUUGUGGAGAGGCCAGAAGGAGGCGAAGGAAGGUCACUGUUUAAUAGCAUGGCCCAAGGUGAGCCGUCCAAAGGAGCUAGGUGGUUUGGGCAUUUUAGACCUACAGAGAUUUGGCUGGGCGCUCAGAGUCCGUUGGUUGUGGUUGAGUAAAACUGAACCCGAUAAGCCAUGGGCAGCCUUCCCGGUCACAGUUCAUGGGAAUGCACAGUCCCUAUUUGCUGCUGCUAUAACUACGGAAGUCGGCAAUGGGGCGAACACCAAGUUCUGGACUGAUCGGUGGUUGCAAGGGUCCUCUAUUCAGCUAUUGGCUCCCAAUUUGUUUGCAACUGUACCCAAGAGGCGGGUUAAGAAGCGUACUGUUCAGGAAGCAUUGCUGGACAAUCAGUGGAUACAGGAUAUCCAGGGGCACUACUCGGUAGCGGUCCUGUCAGAAUUUCUGGAUAUUUGGGACAUGGUUCAGGAAACAUUGCGUCUACCAGAGGCUGAGGAUGUUCAUAAAUGGAAAUUUGAGAAUUCAGGAUAGUUCUCUACUACGUCAGCAUACGAGGCUUUUUUCCUUGGAGAAGUCCAGUUUGAGCCGAGCACACUAAUUUGGAGGAAUUGGGGUCCCAGGAAGUGCAAAUUCUUCCUUUGGUUAGUGGCACAUAAUCGGUGUUGGACAGCUGAUAGACUCGCUAGAAGGGGUCUCCCUCAUCCUGAGCAUUGCCCCUUUUGCGACCACGAGGAUGAAACCAUUCAGCACCUCCUCCAUUCUUGUGUCUUCUCUCGGCAAUUCUGGCUUCAACUACUUCGCAGUUUUGGACUCCCAGAUAUUGCACCUCAACCAUCUUCCACUGGGCUGGUGGCAACAAGCUGGUAGCACACUUGACAAAGGAACCAAGAGAGGAUUCAAUUCACUGGUCAUGCUAGGAGCUUGGAUUCUAUGGAAGGAAAGGAAUGAUAUUGUGUUUAAUGGUGCCUCGCCCAGGAUGGAGCGGGUGCUUCUCCUUGCACAGGAAGAAGCUGUUCUCUGGAGGCUGGCAGCCGCCAAAGGCAUUAGUGAUCUGGUCACUGCUCAACCUGGGGGUUAGCAGAGUCCGUUGGUGAGGGGUGGUCGACCUUUAAAUUUUAACGGGCGUGUAUGUAACCUAGAACCUGUGAGGUGUGUGUAGUGUUGGUGUGUGUGGUGUUGUAUGGCUAUAUGAGCCUUUUAUCUCCUUUCUUAAUGCAAUGAUACGCAGCUCUCUUGCGUAUUCCAGAAAAAAAAGUAGCAACUAGCAAGUCAAGAUGUCACAAUCCCAUAAUUAAUACAAGGGAACUGCAACUUUUCCAACCAAUAAUUGGGUUUUUUAUGUCCACCUAUGAGCUUUGAAAACAAACAAUUACAAUGAUCUCUCAGGAGCAUACUUAUGAUUUAUGAACCUAUGCUUAUCAACACCUGCUAAACUGCAUCAUAACAAAAUUGCAACACGGCAUACAUAAAGUGCAACAAUAAUGGCAGGAAAAAGAACAGUCAGAUGGAUUUCAAUAACAUAUGUAAUUAAAUAUUCUCCGAAAACAAAAUUGCAGUAUCCAUAUUUAACAAGAACUGAUAUUUAAAAAAACUCCAGAGCAUCUUCAUAUAUCUACUACCUUCAUUGGAUUGGAUUGGAAUAUUUGUUUUCCCCAAUGGGUCGAUUUAGAGGGAGAAAUUUCUGUUUUAGAAAACAGGCACUAACAGGCACUAGAUGACUAGUUCAUUUGAAAUAUAACAGCGCCCCAAUCUCACAUUUGAAGAUUGAAAACAACCCACUUGUUUGAUAAGCAAAAGUCCAAAAAGGCCUUAGGAUAUCUGAUCUUUUGCAUCAGGUUCUGCAUAAGCAUGACUACUUUAGCAUCUCAUGAUGAAACUAACCUGAUCAUGUGCAUCACUGUACUAUUCAAGUAAAAUGAAUGGCAAAACUGACGAGCAGAUUUGGUUCCAUGCUGCAAUUCAGAAACCAGCUUAUUAGAUAUCCUCCAAGCAGUAGUUUCAAUAUAUAGUCUAUGUAAAACAUAAUAUGUACACAGUAAAAUAUAUGAAAAAGUAACAUGAUCCUAGAAACACAUUAAAAGCUGCCAAACAAUAGAAAAAGUGUAUUCUAGAACAGAAGGAAGUUGUUUACUACCUGUAGCAGUAUCCGAGACCAUUUGUCGUAUGCAAUUACCAUUAACAGGUGGUCUGAUUGUUUAUUAUCUGUUGCAGAAGUAGACCCAUCAAGGUUCUCAUUCAACAGUGUAGCUUUUGCUUUCUCUACAUUUUGCUUCUGCAAUAAAAAGAGUCAUAAAAUUGAGGCCAAAUCUAUGCCACGUAAAUUUUUCGUCAUAAAUUGUUUGUCAUUGUAGUCACAAGUACCUCAUCUUUUGGAGAGAUAAAUGGGGAUUUAUAACUCAGAAAAGCAGCAACAGAAAGAAUUGGUGAUAAACAACCAAAGAUAGCACCAUAAAGCAUCAUCUGCAGCCGCAUAUGAAAAAUGAAUCAGAACAUCAUCAUGCGAAAAGAAAAGAUCCAUACAGAACUAUAAAUUCACAACAAGAUGUAUGAAGCAGAAAUACUAAUUACUAUAAUCAACUACAUCUUUUUUUUAUUCUUGAACAGUAAAGAGGACUGCACACCAUUAUAUUGAAAACUCUGAAGUUAACUACAUCUAUUGAUUUUUAAGAACCGUGAAGUUACUGCAGAUUACAUAUGGAAGUGCACAAGAGGACAGCUGAUAUGACAAAUAAUGCGUGAUAAUUUUCUAAAUUAUAUAGAUGUAAAAAAGGGCAUGAUAAUUUUCUAUAAUUAUAUAGAUGUAAAAAAGGGCAUUGACUACACAAAUCAAAAUGAAAUAGGACUCUCAGAAAAGAUCAAGCUCAACAGGCAACUUUAGCAUGGCUCUAAUUGUAAACAAGCAGGCCAUGAGCCUUCACGAAAGCAAAAUGUUGAGCUUAAACGGUUUAUGCUGUCAUAUGUAUGGUGAAAGAUGCAUGCAUUGUUCUAUUAGUUGAGACAAGCUCGAACUCCGACAUGGGCUUACUCGAGCUUGGCUUAAGCUCGGCUCUUUGACAGCCUAAUGUAAAUUCUUGUACAGAAAGGAUAGAAAAAAUAAUGCAAUAUGCUCGGAGCAUUCUUGAGAUGUGUAACAAAAACUAAAGAAUUUUAGUUUACUGAAAUUUCAAACUGCUCAUAGUAAAAUAUCCGGGGUAGAGCCAAGGAAGAUUUUAUGAAUAUAGCAGUGUAGUAGGUUGUGUAAUCAAGGGCUCGCAGGUGAAACACUUAUUCAAAUUUAUAUGGCAAAAAUUUUGUAUGUAAGGGUAAAACAGGAAGAGAACAGGGUUAUGCCUCAGUUUCAAUGCAAGAUGGAUGAAAGAGAAUACAGUGUACUUUGUGUUGGCUCAUGUGACAAAAGUCUGAUAUUAAGCGCUACUGAAGUAUUAGCGAGGAAACUCCACAUUGUAAACAGCACAAUCAAUUUACUUUGCUGAAACUAUCCAUGUCAAUUAGCCAUACCUUUCCAAUCAAAACAUCAACAGGCAGUUUUGCUAGAUGAUACCCAAGAGGCGACAACUCUUCAUGUCCUUCAAAUGCUCCAACCUAGAUAAAGGAAUGGCAGCAUAGUGUUUGGUUAAGAACUACAGAAAGAGAUGCCAAGAUUGCCACACGUAUCGCAAUGUAUUCAUGUGAUGGGUUAAUAAACAGAAAUAAUAGAACCUUGUAUAACAAGUCAACUGCAGAGGAAAUAGCUUCUUCGUUAGGGGGCUCUACUGCCUGGAAUAGAACAUGAUAAAUGUGAGCAUAUCACUAUAUCACACAGAUAACAGAAGGACAUGCAUAACAGCAGAACUAACAUAUAGCUUACUACUAAGUACGUCACAAAAUGCUCUACAAAAAAGUCCACAGGAACUCAACCUUUCAGGUAAAAGUUACAUAAAAGUUACAUAAAACUUGCAGAUAUUGCAUCGAAUGAGUUGAAAUCAAAAGAAAGAGUGAUGGUGGAAAACAGAGGGAAAUGUACCUUUAGCAGGAAGCAUUUGAUGUCUCCCAGAUGAAGUGAUUUUAUUUGCAGGCACAGCUCAGUCAAAGGCAUCCGUAGCAUCUCAGGCACCUUCAAGCAUACACUGAAUAUAAAUUCCCAGAGACUACAUGUGCUGUUUAGGAAACUUUUGAUAUCCUUUGGCAAUGAUAUUAUCAAUAACAUAAAACAAAACUCAUUUGUGUCAAAGAAAACAUCUUUUCCGUAUAUUACAAAUUAAUAAUAUAGCCUCCUCGCUUCUGUGCAGCAUGUGGUUUGCAAUUGAUUGAUAUAACUACCCUAGAAUUGAUUGAUAUAUUUGAGAUGGAUUUAAAAGGUGAGGUAGCAAACAGGGAAUAGGGAAAACUCUCAGAAAGAAUGGUCACCGUAUAGGGAAUAACGAAAAGGUAAAAGGCACCAGGAAAGAUAUCUGGCUUGUAUGAGAGACGGACUAGGAGAACACUAGAAAAAUGUAACUAGGGCUAGUGAUAACCUGAAAUGGACGCAUAGUAUUUUCAAACCGAUGCCUGGUAUACAAACAGAAACAUAAACCAGGCUUCACACGACCAGCCCUUCCGCGUCUCUGCUUUGCAUUUGCACGAGAAAUCCAAUCUUCUACUAUGCUUGACAUUUUCUGCAAGCAUACAAGAUAAAGCAACCAAUAAAAGAACUUUUAAAUAUUGACAUUAUACUAUUUCAUAAGAAUUUCUUUGUGUCAACCGAUGCAUAACGAAGUAAAGAGAGCUCAUGCACAAACACUAGAAUUGCGAGCUAGCCAAACAGACACAUUGAGUACCAUUUGCAUUUUACUUUGGGACUCAUUGCCUAAUGAUUUUGAAAGUCCAAGUAUGCAACCAAACCAUGAGCUGAACACAAUCUGGCAUGGUAGAAGACUAUAAGUCUAUAACAGUUAAUUCCACUAUUAGCGUCAAGGCAUCAAGUACUAAUGAAAGUGCAUAUGGCCCCCUAAGUGGUUUUUGGUAUUGAUGACAUGCAUAAUUAAGGGACUACUGUUUUUAUCGAGUAAUUGACAGGUUUAAAUCUUAAGAAGUGCAAAAGUGUAAGGAAGGACCCCAAAUUUAAUUGAAAUCGGUGUUGGAGCUUAAGAGAAGAUCUUUUAAUAAUUUCUAUUUUUGAAUUUGAGUAUAGGAACACCGUACUAUAAAGGGGGACUCAACUAGUUGGCUUGAAGAUGUCAAAGUGCUCAUUUGAGAUGCUAACUACCCAUGAGAGACACCUUAAUCACACACUUGCACAUGCAGUUCCUCAUAGUUUUUGCACUUGUCGGAAGUUUCGAUUGGGUGUCAGAAGUUCCGACAGGUGCCGGAAGUUUUCAGAAACUUCCGACCAAGGUCGCUUAGCAAAUUUCUUUUUAAAGUGUCAGAAGUUCUGACCCUGUGUUGGAAGUUCCGACAUGCACUUUAACAGCAAUAACGGCUAGUUUUGGGGGUCGGGUAUUUAUACCCCCUCAACCCCCUCUUCAUUUGCUACUGACCUAACCACGAAACAAAAACCUCCAAGAGCAUUCAAUCCUCCUCCCCACUCCCUCCUUGAGCUAAAUCUUUGAGAGUUUUGAGCUAGGGCUUGGGAGAGAGGAAGAUUUGAGGUGUGUGACUCUAGCUUUGAGUGUGAGGUCAACCAAGUUCAUCUCAAGAGCACUUGAAGUAUCUUCGGACUUCGAUUCGCGUUUGUUACUCUUGAAGCUUGCUUCUAGACGGUUCGGCGUCGCCCGUUUGAGCGCCCUCUUUGUUGUGGUGCGCCCGUGAAGUUUGUAUUGCCCAUCCUCUUCGAGGAUUCAUAGUAAGAGCAACUUCAAUAGAAUUUGUAUCCUACCCCUAAUACCUUGUUUAGGGAGAAAAAAGAAAAAAAGGAUUCCAACAACUCCCCAAAAACUUCCCCAAGCUAUUCGCGACGCCAAAACAGAGCCCGUCGCCGAGCAUAUUUGCGUGAUUUUCCUCCUCCCCCAAUCAGUCUUCCCGCGCGAGAGUCUUCCAACGGCGGGGCAAGGGGUGGCAAACCGCAGCCCCGCACGACGCCACUUGCGGCACGACGAGGCCCCCCUCACCGAGGCCCGCACAAGGCCGGCCACGGCAGGGCCGCCGCUCCUCUGUCCAUGCUGCGCGAGCCCCACUGAGAUGCCGUCCGUGAGAGGCCGGCUUGCCUCCCCGGGAAGCCCAUCGAAGCAGUCACCGGGAUCAGCAUCCCCUUCGCCUUGUGGACUUGGAUUGAAGUUUGGUGCGUUGCAAUGGGGAGAAGGGAUUCGUUGUUUCCUGCUGGCUGCUUGGACGAGCUCCUACAAGGGAGAAAUCGGGUGGGGAAUUUUGCGUGUGUGCAUCUGAUUUGACAGAAGAGCAAGGCAAGAUCUUGUGCUGUGAGUCUGUUGUGAUGUUGCCGAUUGUAGAGAAAGAGAGCGAAUCCGUUUUACCUAUCUCCAAUUGGCGUUGGAGAUCGCAUGGAUGGGUCGGGUGGCAAAAGCCUCGGUGAGCCGAUGGGAGGGGGCGACUGGAGAUUCUGGCAGCGGCAACGCUGUAGAUCAAGAGAGAGGGAGGUGAUUGUGAGGGGAGGAGGUGGGCAGCCCAAGUGAGAUGGGCCCAAUUAUGAUGAUGUGGCUGUUUUGAAAUAUUGGGGGCUAGUUAUUGGGGAACUGUUGUGGGUUCGUAUGUUUUUGGGGGAAAAAAUUUUUUGGAAGAGCCACCAAUACAUAGUUUUGGGGAAGAACCUUUUGGGAAACUCUUGGAUUUGCUCUAAGUGACUCAAUCCUCCUUUGUGGUUGAUUGAGAGAGGUAAAGGGUUAGUGAGGACCCGGCUCUUUGUGAGCUCCUCAACGGAGACGUAGCUUCCUUUGUGGGAGUGAACUUCGAUAAACAAAUCCUUUAUCUAGUGUGCUUGUUGUGUUCCUCAAGUUCUUGUUGACCUAGAACUUGUUUUAUGCCGAUCUACUUUCUCGUGAAGUUUCCCUUAUAAAGAUCACCUGCACUAGUCUCUAGACUUCAUUGCUAAACUUUUGAUUCAAAUAGAUUCUGCUGAAAUGAGUUUGAUUUUGAAUUUCGUACAGUAUUUUUAUCUCUGUCAGAAGUUCCACCCCUGUAACAGAAGUUCCGACCCCGUCGGAAGUUCCGGCACAGUGUCGGAAGUUCCGACCCAUUUAACUCUGCUGCAAAGAUUUUUCAGGUUUUACAGAUCGAGCCUAUUCAACCCCCCCCCCCCCCCCCUCUCUCUAGGCAUCACACGAUCCUUUCAACUAACCCAUGUGUUUCAUUUAUAACUUUUUUUUCUAUAGUGGUCUUGUUUUUAUGAAAGGUAGUGUAAUACAAGAAUUGAAUUUAUUGAUACUGCUCCAGAAGAAUAAGAAGAAAAUCAAACUCUGGAAGUACAAGCAGUACAGAAUAAAAUGAAUGAUAAACCUUCCUUACUAUGUUAUAAGCCUCCUCAGGAACCACGGGAUCUGAGGAGUUUCAGCAGUAUUAUGUUAGAUUGAGUGCUUCUUUUUUUUACCUAUGAUAGACCAGCUAGUGUUUUUUUCCUUAUAAACUACUGAAGGACCCUGAUAGGCCCAAAAAUAUUUAGUACCAAACCCGUAAAGCACUGUUUCAUCAACGAAUCCGCAAACAAUGUUAUCAUGGACAAAUUUGCCAACUGCCCUUUCAGUAAAUCCAAAGUGAACUAUCCAGUUAACAAGUGAUACAUAAAAAACUGAAGAAAUAUAGAAAUACUUGGCAAAAGAUCAUGAAAAUGGUAAAUCCUCAUCUUCUUUCCCCAAAAUUACAGGUGAAAAUAAGAGAAAUCUGACCUUCCGUGGGUUAUAACGGUUCUGCUUGUGCUUUCCAGCAUCAACGACAUAUAUUACAUCAUCAAUUGUAAUACUGGUCUCUGCUAUGUCUGUGGCAACAAUAACCUGCAACAGCAUGUAGUAAGCACACAGUAGAUCUGUGAGGACAGGAGUGAGCGUAAUCACCUUGCGAAAGUUAUCUGGAGGAGACUGGAACACUUUUCUUUGAUCAGUGGGUCCAAGUAGUGAAUGUAAAGGAAGGAUCCAAUCAGAUGAUGCCCCUCCAAAUCUAACUGAAGCAGAUAAUCUAUCAAUCAACAUGUCAAUCUCUGCAACUCCCUGUAGCAGCAUCAAUAGCAGGAAAGGAUGUGCCCUUUAAUGUAAGAUACAUAUUAGCAAACAAAGCACUAAGCUGAUGUAAAACCCUAAACUUACAGGAAGAAAAACUAGAAGAGCACCAGGAGGGAAAUUCUCAUCAAUAUAGCAUAUCAAGUCUUCCAAUAGAUCAAAAUCAAUCACAUCUUCAUUCAAGCAUUUCUGUGUUAUCAACAGAAAAUUUCAGUCAGAACCAAAACAUUGUUAAAAGAGAAGGGUGUAAAAUAUGGGUCAGAUAAAGGAACUCACUAGAUUUUGGUUGGUUCUCUCACUGUAUGACUUAUAGUAAUCAGAAACAUAAUGAGGGUUAACAUAGCCUUCAGAAAGAGUUGACUCAUCACCCCAUGAGGAUAAGACAAGGUUCUUUUUUCCUCGUCGGUUAUUCACUGAGCUGCUCGCAUGCUUCCACUGGAAAAGUGUAAAAAAGAAUAAAUGUAAGUACAGCACUAAUGAUCAGAAACAUACCAAGCAUAAUGGAUUUCAAUUGGUUAGCCCUGAGGAUCUUAAGGGCAGUUACAGAGCAUAUAGUUGCAAAAACACAUACUCUUACCCCUAAAGUAGUUAUAUAAGAUUUAAACAGGGAAUCCCCAGCUUUAUUACAAGCAAGAAGCAACACAUCAAAUACAUGGUUCAUGUUAGGGUGGUAAACUGUGCUAUAGAUUAUUUCAAAAGAAGUUGCAUGACCAACAAGAUUUUCCAUACUUUUGUAACGGACACAGAAGACUAACAGAACAAGCCUAUAUCUACAAAUACAAUGAGCAACAGAAACACAUACAAGAUCUAGCCACCCAAAAGAAACAGUAAUAGUCACAGGGCUCCAACAGAUCAAGAAUGUGUACACUAUCUGGUGUAAGAAAUGGGAAUACGAAACCUUUUCCCCAUGGUGUGCGAAGUACGCUCCUGAUGCAGGAGAAUCCAAUGCAAGACAGUACUCCAUUUUCUCAUAAACAUCCUCAAGAAAGUGAGUUGACACCGGAUGUGUUCUUCCUUCAACAUUAAUCACAGGGCAUUCUCCAAAAUAUCGUGCAAAUAGGCUUGAAUCGACCGUCGCGGACCUGAUUGUAAAGAACAUUGGAAUAAACACAAGAUUGGAAUAAGACAACAAAUGCAAACAGUAAGAAAAAGAAUGCAAAAACUGAAAGAAAUAAAGAUAUUAAGCCAAAGGGGAUGAGUUUUACAUGAGAAUCACUUUCAACUUCCUUCCUUGUUGAUAGGAGCGUUUCUCAACGAGAUUCUUAAGAACAAUAAGCAAGAAGUCACUCUGGAGGGAGGAAUAAAGAUUAUUUACCUCAUUUAGCACAGGAACACGCAUGACAUUUUGUAACAUGAAAAAGUAUAAAGCACAUGAGUACAUACCAAAAUAGUACGUUCAUGUACUUCAUCUACUACAACAUGAGUAACAUCACUUAAGUCUCUGUUUCCCUGAAAUAUAUAGCACGGAUAACAAAGUAUAUUUUAGCAACUAUCAAGACAUGGUACAAAAUUAGGUUCCUCCUUUUAUUAGCUGAAUGGCAAGUUCAAGUUUUACCAGAAGAGACCAAAUGAAAAAACCGAAAUCGUCAUUAAUGUGAUUAUGAAAAAUGCAUGAAACAAUAAUUGUUAUGCAUAUGAGGGCACUACUUACAGAUAAUUUCCUGAGAAGGAUACCAGUAGUGCAGAACAAAAGUUUUGUCCUCUCAUUCCUAAAACAAUAAAAAAGCAUCAGACAUAUUUUUGAAAGAAAUGUGGUAUAAAAAUAUUUGAUACAAAACUAAACGGUACAAAGCCCAAGGGAAAGGAAAACAAACAGAUGAAAAAGGAAGGAAGAAAAGGUACAAAGGGAAGAAAGAGAGAGGGAUUAACGCAUAAGAAGGAUUUUCUACCCAAGCGAAAAUAUCAGACAUAUUAUAUACAAACUAUAUGUUAUACUUAUAAACCUUCACGGAUCAUGUGCGAAAUUGUAAGCACUGCAUGCAUGGAUCACGUGCAUGAGAAAGAAACAAACCGUGCACUGUCAAGACGAACUUGAUAUCCGACCAGUGAAUCAUUCGAUCCAGGUGAAGAUUCACACCUUUCAUCAGACACUCUCUCCGCAACAGAAAUGGCCUAUACAUAUGUAGACCAAUCCAAGUUAAAUUCGAUUAUAUCUGUCUGAUAAAAUAAAAGUUAUAGGUAAUUUGUGAUUAUGUAAAGUUUGAAGCUUUGCAAAUAUGAAAAGAGCAAUCACCACAACAAAAGAUCUCCUGAUAAUGCAAUACUCAAAACUUGUGUAUGAGAUCCAAUCAAUAUGGCCUUGCAAGUGAUUUCAUGAAUAAGGCAUGCAACUUUUGCAUAAUACCACUGCUAAUCUUAUGAUGCUGUCCUCGAAGAAAAGACAAAGAUCCGCAUCAUGAUCUUACCGCUAUCCUCCGGGGUUGUGUGCAAAUUAUAUUGCAAUAACCUCCAAGUUCAGACUCAAUCAUGUCAUCCAAAAUAAACUGUGGCACCUGCAAAGAUGAAAAAGAAUCAUGAGUACAUAAUUCUGGAAAUUUAUAAUUAGCCUACACAAGUUCAAGUUGCAUCAUAUUCAGGACAAAGUAUUGAAAAGAGCAUAUCUACAAAUAUAAACAUUGUAUCAAGAGACACUGCUGUACAUAUGAUGAAACAAAAUAAAAAUCAUUCAUUGAGAUGUGGAGAUUUUGUAAUGAGAUUAGUUGGUUAACAGUGUUAAGUGCUGCUUCCAAAAGACUAUUAAGGGCCUAAGGCCGGUUACCAGCCUUGCCAAUUCAGUUUUUGUUUAUCUUAACUUUGACGCAGAAGAUUCACUAGCCCAGCAAGUACAAUGUGCGCUUGCAAAGAAGAGGCUCAAGGUAGGGCUCACUCCAACCGCAGAUUGCAAACUUUACCAUUUUUAAGUGCGCGACUGCAAUGUGACUGCUGUAAAUUUGAGGAAACAUUUUAUUGUUAGGUGAGAAUUGAAACCAGGACCAAAGGACGUUGCCCAGCAAGAGCAUUACUGCUACGCUAGCUGCUCUGUCAUGCUGUUAGCUCAGAGUAAGAAACUUUUGAACUCAAAUGAAACCAGUUUUUUCCAGUUUACACAGCUACCAGGGCCCAAAGGUAAUGUUGGUAAAUGCUGUAGUGGUACCCAGUGGCGUAGCUUGGACAGGAUAUGAGAGGGGGACAAAUUAGUAAAUUUUUAGCCACUUAUGUGGUAGAAGAGGGGGGGGGGGGGGGUGUGGGAGGGGGCGGCCUAAGCUCGGCCCCUGGUGGUACCAACCUUGUUUUGUUAUGACAAUACCAAAGGUAAAUAACGAGAUAAAUGGCAAAUUGAAAGAUUAAGGUGCUUCGAGCACAUCCAUAUCAUGACUUCACAAGUAUAACACUUUGUGCUGGAUGUGUAAAGCAUCAUAUACCCAUGCUUAUUGCAGUCAAGGUUGUUCAAGACACCAGGUACAAUUGCUUUUGAGGGGAAAACAACAAUUUUGGCAUAUAUGUGGGAACUUCAAGAGACAAAUCUCUAUUACCAAGAUAAUGCUAGUUGGAGGGAAAGGAUGUCACUCUUAGACAUAAACGAGGCCACGGCAAGAAAUGAAACUGCAAUCAACAGAAAAAUUGGGACAGCAAGAAUGCAUGUGUCACAACUGUAUACCCCUCCUUACAAUCUCUACCUAAUAUUAAAGUGCGGUUGUUUCUUCCAACCGUCGUGGUUGUUUUGCAAAAAAGUCCCUCAACUUUUUUGUAAUCAACCCACAGUCCUUGGAAUAUGUCUUGACGAUUUUGCAAAAAGGUCCCCAAACUUUACUGCAAUUUGACUCGAGGUUCAGCCUUUGCUCCCGUUCUUUUGUCCUGCCCACACAGCGUGCUUGCCGGCGGCGGCACGGGACGCGCGCCACUACUCCAUCGCUCGCGUGGCCAACCCUCCCCACGCUCACCACGCACUACUGCCGCUCGCCCUGGCGGGCAGCUGCUCCCUCGGGCUGCACGCCCUACCCGCCACUUGGACCUAACGGGUGAAAGAGAGAGGAGGAAGGGGAAAGGAAACAAGGAGCCGAGUGCCUCCUUGCAGUCAACCAAGUAGAGCCAUGUGCCAGCAAGGGCAUGGCGCCAGGGAGGGGGAGGGUGCAGCGGCAGGCGGCAGGCAACGCAAACAGGGACAUAUGCCGGGACCUCACACCCCCCUCUCAAUGACAUCCAUCCCCUUCAGAUCCGGAACUAAGGCCUCCACAUCUAGCAAUUGGGGGCUCGAUUUUGCACUUGAUUGGAACGAUUUGGAGUGGAUUAUAGAAGGGAGGUGGAUGGAAACGAGAAGAAGAGAACGCACUCCUGCUCAUGGCAGCCAGAGGCGCUGUGGCCUAGCGCUUGAAGCGGGAAUGAGGCUAGGCACGAGGAGGACGAGCGCUUGCCUGGGCGACGGCGAGGACGGCAAGAUGCGUAGCGCCUGGGCGACGGCGAGGAUGGGACAAGAUGCGGGUGGUGCCGAUGGAUGAAGAGGCAGCGACUGGAUGGAUGAUGAUGAGUACGGGGGAAAUCGAAUGAAUGGAUAGAGCGGAGGUUAAGCGGUGAAUUUUUUUUAUUUCCAUGUGUGGGUCCCACGUAAUAAACAGAUGGCAUCAAACCACCCACAAAUGUCUUCUACUACUAUACUUGCAAAGAGAGGACUACUAGGGACAACGCACCAACAUAUUGUGAAGCAAAGCCAACAUAUUAGGAACAAGCGAAUAAUAACGUGAGAGUAAGUAAGGACCCGUAGCAACGCACGGGCAUUUCUGCUAGUUCAACAAUAAUUAAAAAGAAUGGUUCCAAACAUCACAAUGAGUGUGUGUUCAAUGGUGCAAGCUUGGUGGCUCAAGCAGUAGAGUAGGAAGGUGCCCUGUGGUGUGCAGCCAGGGCUAAGGACCUUUGAAACCUUUCUUAAGGUCUACUGCUGUAUUUGUUUGGGUUGUUCCUGUUAUUUAAGUGGCACGUAUAUUGUAUCUAUUAAGGCAUGUGGGUGUGGGUGUGGGUGUGGGUGUGGGUGAUGUGUGAGUGGCGUUGCACAGCUGGGUUCUCUUUCUUAAUAAAAUGACAGACAACUCUCCUACGUGUUUGAGACAGAAAAAGGCGACAAAUGAGACUAACAAAUUAUUGACAUAACAGACUCAUCUACAAAGGGAGCAAAUGGUUGUAUGAUAUGAUGCACAACAAAUUGUUUUCCACUCGGAAUAGUUAUUUUUUAAUAAAAAAUGACACUCAAGAAGGAAACCACUGAAACACAACAUAACUGAUAAUUUGAUAUGAAAAAGAAUUUGAAUGAAAAGGAAGCACAAGUACCUGAGUUGUUUUCCCACAUCCAGUUUCUCCACUAACAACAAUUACAUCAUUCUCUUUCAGUAAUUGUAGGAAAUGUUGCUUCUGUUUAGCUAUUGGUAGAGAAGCUCUUGCUUCCAGCAUUUUCUAAAUGUGCAAGGUGAACACAAUAAUUCAUCAGUAACAAGACAAAGAAACAGCAUGCAAUUCUGAAAAUAUACUUUUAUUAGAUUGCACAUUCAUUGCAUACCAAGUAAUUUGGUAGCUUCCUUUUGUCUUCCAACUGCUUUUUCAAAAUUGCACUCUCUGCAUGCUCUGGGGAUUUCAAUCCUAUUGUGGAAGAACACCAAAUCACACUUUAAUUAUUAGCAGAUAGAAGAAAUAGAACUACAACAAUGAUAUUAUAGCAUUCAUUCAUUUGACCAUUUCAAUCUUCAAUUAGAAGGGUAGCAGAUAGAAGAAAUAGAACUACAACAAUGACAGUAUAGCUUUCACUCAUUUGACCAUUUCAAUUAGAAGGGAAAAUUAUUAACUCCAGGAAUAUGAUUGGAAAUCAAAGCUUAUGAUGUGUAUGUCAAUAGACAAUACAAGGUUCAAUAUGAUUCAUCCUGAAAAGUGGCAAGGGAACAAACUCCAUAUGAUAGCAACCUUAUGAUGCACACUGCCCAGGAAGUACAAGGAAAUGAAGAAGGCGAAUGUAAUGACUCGAUAUGCCACAUGGAAGUAAUAUGUCUGUCAUCACUCAUCAGUGACAAUCAAGCAUGUCUUGGACGAGGGGAAAUGAUAACCAUCCACAAGCAAGAUUGUUUAUGAUAUUAUCCAGAAAUAUGUUCAAGAAAAAAGUAGAUGAAAUGAUGAUUUGUAUUGACAGCUUACCCAUACAACUCAUCAUGGCAGCCUCUCUCUUCUCAUGUACAGAUUUGUUAUCUUCAGUAUCCCUAGAAUCUACAAAUAUUCCACCAGCAGAAGAAUCUUCGAUUAGGGAUGUAUCUGCAUCCAUAUUCAAUAACAUAUCUACAAAGCCAGCUCUUCGACUGUCUUCAGUAUCAAGCACCCUUGAUGUUGACAACAAUUCACCUGUUUUAUGAAAACAUGCAAUAUGUAACGCAAAGGCCCAUUAUAUUUCGAAAGUCAUUAAAGAAGGAAAUAUGAAUCAAUAGCUUCAACCUUCUUGCCAUCUUAAAACAAGUGAUGAGUAUGGCUCAGUAAGCAGAUGGCGUAGCGGAAGAUCAGCAAAGAAUUGAUAUAGAGCAAAAGCUGCAACUCGACUUUGUGCUUCCUGUUCAUAAAUUCAGUUUAAUAAUGCAAAUUUAGAUAGAAUAAAUAAGAUUAUUCUAUCAUGAGCAGUUAUGAAUUGACAUCUCACUAUAUCAUGUAGGUAUAAUGAUAGCUAUUAUCACGGAGACAAGCAUGACAAGUUGAGAACCAUAAGCGUAUGUAUCAGAAUAUUAGCUGAUUUAAAAAAAUUUGCAAGAAGCAUUAUCAUACAAAGUAACAGCAAAGUCGUAACCUCAACAGAUCCAUAUUCUUCAUCUAUUUCAGGUAACUGAAUUUUCGUCAAGCCUCCAGCCUUCCGACUCUUACCACGGCCAGUAGCACCCCGCAACACGUUAACAGCAUACACAAAUUUACCAUUUUUCUCAGAUAUUUUACUAUAUUUUGGUGCUUCCCAACCAAGUCUCUGACAAAACUUUUGUAGAACUGCUUUUGGCAUUUUACCAGAAUCUCCCUGUAGUUGGGAAAAAAUGAACAGUUAGAAAUAAGUGCAUAGCAGAAGCAAAGUCAAACAUGAAACAUGUUCUAUCAAUAUGAAGAAAAAGGAAAAGCACUUGGACCUUCUUCCAUAUAUCAUCUAUGUUCCCAAGAAGAUUGCCAUAACCAUCAUGUGAUAAUUUCUCUAUUUUUUGCUGUUUCAAUAUUUCUGGAGCCACUGCGUCCCAAGCAGACGAGUCUUCAAAAAACAUGCCACCAAGCUCAAUCUCCUCUUCAUCUAUCUCCUUUGUGCAAGUUUCAACGACAUCAUUAGGGAUCCCCUUUUUCAAAUCAGGCCCUUCAUCAUUACCUAGACUGUCAGAUUUAUUUUCAGCUACCCCUAAAUCAUUCUGACCACCCUCAAUGUUUGCAGUUUCAGAAUUUGAUGAGACAGGAUGUGCAGAAUGGGUUAUAUGUUCCUUCGAGCUUCCAUGCUUGGAAUUCUUUUUUGCAGCUGUAAAGUGAGGGGAAAUCAUAAGAUAGAUCUGUAUGAACUAUGUAAAAGUUCAAAAACUUAUCAGGACCGUGUAAUUAAGAACUAGUAGACGAGUUAUAACAUGAAUAUAAAUAAUACAAUCAUUAAGUUACCCUUGCUCUUCCGCCUAUUUGGUUUUGCUUCAACAACUUCAAAACUUUCUAAGCAGUGAUCUUCCCAUGUGGAGGAAUCAUUCGAAUUUGCAUCAUCAUCCUAACAUCAAUGGCAGCCAAACAAAAAAGUAUAACAUAAAACAGGACAACAAAAGAAAUAAAAGGAAGAACAGAAAGCCUUGGUAGAAGAAAAGCUGAAAGCACUUGGUAGAGGAAUAAUUUAAUUCAUCAUGAAUUCAUAUGCAUAGGAUAUUCCGAUGUUGUGUACAUUAAAUACAAGCAUCAGUUAAAAAUGUCAUAUACUAUUGUAAUCCAUAUGACCAUAUGAUACAACAUUGAUGCCGUCAACUUUUCAUAUUUUUCCCAUUAAUGCAUAAAAAGGUCAUUUAUAUUGAUAACAAGAAAAUAACAUUAAUGAAUGUGUCAUCACAAGUACUUCCAUUAUAUUCCCUAAUGUUUACUAGCAUGUUGUUACAGGUAAUAGUCAAAGCUGUAUGAUCUAAAACAGCAGAAGUAAUUAACGGACUGAAACAACAGACAAACCAUGGGCUAAAGGGAUAAGGAAAGACUUGAAUUGGAGAGUUCUCAGUGAAGAUUAGUUGCCACCAGGUUUUGUUUUUCAAAAGGUACAAACCAUCGAGCUACUGAAAUUAGCACAACAAAUCAACAAUUUAUCUCUUAAACUGCAAGUUGCACAAGUUCAUGAUGUAGAGGCACUUAGUGUCUAUAGAAGGUUCAGUACAACCCGAGAUUAGUACGAAAUAGCACAAUAACAUCGCAGAAUAAGCAAGCAGUUAUGACUAACCAAAUAUAUGAUUAACAAACUCUAACUAAUGUUCAAAGAAUACUAAGACUAGAUGACUCAAUUGAUAAAAUUACUUGUUCGUACAUCAGUACCUCCUCUUGCUGUUCCAUAUACUGCCGAAUCCAAGCAGCUUGCGAUGACCGCCCGUCAUCCAAUGAUACAUUCUCCUCUCUCCGCCCACCAAUUCUGAUUUCCAACUGCUCGGUGCUCACCUUCACCUCCUCAGGUUCACGACUCUGUGGAACCCAAUUGUCCUUGGCUGUGGACAGUACCUUAACAGAACCUUCAGCUCCUGCAACACACACCGUCAAUGUAAUCAGCAGAUGGUUCUAGCAUGGAAUAGUAACACCCAACGAAUCAACCAAUCAAUGCCUCCAUGAGAGAGGGUGGGGUGGACAAAACUCACCACUUCAGCAUUUAUAAGAUAACCAAGUAAUAUCUCACGAUGCAGGCAAAUGAUCAAUGAUGUAAAGUCUAUUCUAUGUGGACGUACAGGAGAACACUCACACAUCACAAAUGAAUGUUCAAGAGCACACACGCAGACUGAUGAGGACACAAGCCCACGCACAGAGAUAUGUAUGUUUACAUGCUGUACUAGUCACCGCCUGCAAGCACUAAACCUUAAACCCUUGAAAUUUGAUACCUGUGCGAGAAGAGGUGGUGCUGGUGCCACCGCUGGAGAACUUCAGGGGGAGCUCAUCGCCUGGCAGAUUAAAGCACAGCCAGUCCAACGCCGACUCAAACGUCGCCGAAUCCUGCCUCCCGAAGGGGAAGAACACAAAAAUCAUCAGCUCAACAGCCAAUUCGAUCACACAGUGAGGUUCUAGGUGCGCUCGGGGAUACUCACCGGUAUAGCAGAGAGCGCCUGCUCGAUUUGCGCGGAGGAGAAGCCCUCGAGCGCGAGCUUGUCGUACACGCCACGCAGCCGCCGCGCUUUCUGCUCCCUCGACUCUCCGCGGGCCGCCGGACCGUCCGUGGGCGCCAGGGAGGGGGCUGCUGCGGCGGAGGAGUUGAGGAGCAGGCGCCGGAGGCGGCGCUCGUUCUCCGACGAGAUCUGGAGGCGCGGCGCUGCGGCGGCGGCGGAUGAGGAGGACGACGAGGAGGAGGAGGGUUUGGGCUUCUGCUUCUGCUUCGAGCCCGGCUGCUUCUUCUUCGGCGCCAUUUGGCCUCGCGCGCCCGGAGUGUUGGCGCUGCCGUCUGAUCGUCUCCGGCGACGGCGGGCUUUCGGAACUUCGGAAUCGCGGGGAACUGCUGCUUGCUGGGUUUAGCGCUUUUGCAGGGAAGACGGCGACAAGCGGUCUGCUGUUGCCGAUAUUAUUGUGGGACCCACGUGUAAGAGCCAUUCCGCACAUUCAUGGGCAAUUGGGCUUGGGCUUGGCUAGCCCUUUUUUUUUCUUUUUUUCAGUUUUUCUCGUGUAGACAUGCCAGCAAAUUCGACAUUUCGACAUUUCGACGUGCCGUUGCGGCCACGAUUUGGGAGUUUUUAGAAAAUUGGUUCUCAAUUCGCGGCCGUUUUGCAAAUUUGAUCACACCGUCCCCUCAAGGAAAUUUGCAUCAGAUCAAGUGCAACGGUACGUUAUUCAUCUUCUUAUUCGCAACAGGAUGAGGAACAUAUGCAAAUUUUUGGGGGAUAAGGAAAGUAUGCAAAUUUCAUGAAAAAUAGCAUUCUGCACCUUGUGCAGAUAUAAAAUGCAUUGGAGCUGAAUAGCUGAUUGCAACGGCGGAACCUGGGGGGCCAGCAGGGGCCAUUGUAUUGUUUGGGCUUUCAGCCAGUUUCUCACCUCGAGAAUCUGAAAGUCCAAACAAACGAAACAAACGAUAAGUUUUCGAGCCUAGCUUUUUAUGGAUCAAAAGCUCUAGCUUUUCACGGUACAAUGGAAAGCUCGAAAGGAGAGAAAAAUAACCUUCUGGCGUUAUUUACCCACCUGCCAUCGGUAAUGUUGCUUAUUUUUCCUCCCUCCACCCCUGUUAUCCUCCCUCCGCCCUCCGCAUCAGGCCGCCGCCGCUCCGCAUCGAGCGCCGCCGUCCUCCCUCCGCCCCUGCUCAUCCUUGUCGCCCGCCACCCUCCUCCCUCCGCAUCAGGCCGCCGUCGCUCCGCAUCGGGCGCCGCCGUCCUCCCUCCGCCCCUGCUCGUCCUCGUCGCCCGCCGCCAUCUUUCCUCUGCAUCGGGCCGCCAUCCUCCUCCCUCCGCCCCUGCUCGUCGUCGUCGCCCGCCACCAUCUUCCCUCCGCAUCGGGUCGCCGCCCUCCUCCCUCCGUCCAGCCCCUGCUCGUCGUCCGACCCCGCCUCGUCCUCAUCGCCUGACCCCUGCUCAUCCUCAUCCAGCUUUCAGCCACUCUCAUCCUCAAAGAAGCUAGGUUGCCAAACGAACCUCAGCUUUCAGAAAGCUAGCUUUCAGAAAGCCAGCAUUCCAGGAUGAGAAGCCAAAAGCCAGCUAUCGGAAAGUAAAAGCUUAAACAAACAGGACCUAAGCCCAGACAGCUAGAAGCCUGCAGCUGCAAUUCUGCAAAGCGGUAGUAGCUGAACUCAAAGCGCAGAGACAGAAACAGAAGGCCGAUCGGCAUUCACCGAUGCGCUGACACUGAAUCGCCGAUUUAUUGGAAACCAAUCAAAUCAGCGGAGAGGGGAUAGUUGUUAUGUUAUCCGAAUGUCCGCAUGCACGCGAGCAGCAAGUCACGACGCCGGGCGAGACUGACGACGCGGAAGGAAUAGUUGAUGAGCACUACGCAGGGAGACUCACGUUCAAACAAUUUCCACACAUCAAUCUCUUUGCCUUCGACUCGCUUAAACUAAAGAAAAGCCAGAUCAUUAGUAUUUUACUGAUUAGCUCUGCUUAGUUGGUUUAACUUUCCUAUGCAUGUUUUAAAUGAAAAGUAAUGUUAACUUCUUUGUAAAAUGUUUUUUAUUUGUAUAUGGGGCAAACGUAAAUUCAGAAUGUUAUAGUUGUUUCAAGCAUGUAAAAAGGUGAAAAUUUGAUGGCAAAUACACAUGAGAAACUUUUUAUAUUUGCCGAAAUCGACAUGUAGGUCAUUGCCAUUCUGCUAUUAGAUCACAUCGCCCUUUGGACACAGAGUUCCCCGGUGCCUACAUGCCUAUCCUCUUGUGAUCGGAUAUGGCGCUCCUUGGUGAAUGUAAAUACUCCUUCCGUCCCAAAUUUGUAUUUUAGAUUUAUAGUUUGACUAUGUAUCUAGGCAUAGUCUUUGCCAAAGAGAUGGUACAAAAGUUACCAUGCAGAAAUUUUAUCUUUAUUCUUGUAAAAAAACUAGCAUUUUAUAUGAGUCUGGAAACACUGAAUCAGCCUAUUAUUGUGCAUGUUCAGUAUUUCCGCUCAUACAACAAAGGUUGAGUUAAACUGAGGACAGGCUCCCAUAUCAUCUAACAUCUUACAGCUGUCACAUUCUUACCAUGAAAAAUAAAUAUUAAAAAAUCUCUUCAACGAUUUCUUAUUUUUGUGGCGAAACUUACAUAUUGUACAACUGAGAUUCAUACAUGGGAGUCCACCAAAACACUGAACAUGCAGACUUUCCCAAUCGGGAAAGCAAGAGGUUGAGGAGAAAAAUCGAAAUGUUAGCCCAAAGAACAAGAACUGCUUCUGUCUUUCUGAGUUCUGACCAACACUGCGCAGCCUAUCAGGCAUUCAGGCUUUUACGACCACCAGUACACCACCUUGCACGGUUAUUACACCGUCCACGAGGCCGACCUCCUGAGCACCGGCUUCAUGGCCUUGUCCUCCUCGAGGGAGAUCAUGCCAAGGUGCGACGGGUCCUCCAGCAUCAUCUUGGCCACCAGGUACCCCGCGAUGGACCACGUCUGGAACUUCCUCGCCUGCUUCCCGAUGUACCUCCCCAGCUUGCCGUCGUAGUACUCCGGCCAGCCGUCCCUCGCCAGCCUCGCCUCGGCAAGUUCGAUCGCUCGCCGGGCGAUCUUCAGCCGCCCGGUCUUGAUGCACGCCGCCGUCAGCAGCCAGAGCAGCACUGCAAUGCAAUGUUACCAUAAUUAUCAUUCAGUCCCUGCAGCUAAUUAAUUAAGCAACCUUCCGAUCGAGAGCACCGAAUUAAGGAAGACAGUGGCUGACCUGGCCAGGAUCCGCCGUUGUGGUAGCUCCAUCUGGUGUUCUUGGGGUCGCAGCCCGUCACAAUCUGCCACUCGUGGCCCUCGAUGGCCGGGAAGCAUAUCUUGACGGGCAUCUCGCCGACGAGCUCCUCCCAGCGCUCCUCGAUGAGGUCCAUGAUGGCGGAUGCCUGGUCGGGCGUGGCGAGGGAGGCGAGAAUGGCGACGCAGUUGCCGAGCGCGAACCAGCGGAAGUCCAUUCGGGCGGGGCUGACGUUGCCUACGAAGUAACCGCCGCGGGUGGGCAUGAAGUCGAGGAGCCAGUCCGGGAUGGACUCCGGGUUGACGUUGAACUUGUUGACGGCCGUGUGCGAGUACUCCUCCGUCUUGAACCGGUAGAUGUCGUUGAGCUGCUGGAAGUCCAGCCAGAAGUAGCCCCGCACGUGGUAGCUCAGCGCCGCCAGCCGCGUCACGAUCCGCUCCAUGAUCUCCUUCCCCUCCGCGUCCGGCUUCAGCAUCAGCAGCGCGCACCGCAGCGCCAUGAAGAACAGCGCCUGGAUCUCGAUCGGGUACCCGUACACGCCCUGCAUGCGCAAAGGCAGAGAUGGGUUUAGGUUUGAUCGAAGACGUGAUAUGAUUCUUGACGACGACGACGGCGACAUCAUGUUAAAUGAAGCUUGGUUACUACCGUACCAUCCGGCGGUCGAUCAUGCAGCAGCCGUCGGCGCAGAGCAGGGUGGGGAAGGUGUCGAAGCCCUCGGCGAGGCACUGGUUCAUGAUGAGGCGGAUGCCCUUCUGGCACAUGGGCGUCUCGGCGAGGGUCAUGUCGCCGGUGGACUUGGUGUAGGCCCGCAGGAUGAUGAUCCACCAGAACCCCGAGUCGACGGGCGCGACGCGGCCGAUGGCGCUCUCGCCGAAGUCCGCCACCAGCUUGUCCACGCCGCGCUUGGGGUCCUUGAGCACCUUGAAGCUCGCCGGCAUGGCGCCCUCGCCCAGCUUGAACCGGUCGAUCCGCUUCUCCCACCCCUGCAGCAGCAGCGUCUUGAGCAGGAAGUUCCGCACCACCUCCGGCUCCCCGUUCAUCAGGAACGCCAGCGCGCUCGGCACGAAGUCCCGCACGAACACCUGCAUGCGCGUGCAAUUGGAUCGAGUUAGCUGCUCCGAUCCAUCCAGGAACAAAUGACCCACAUGCCCGAAUUAUUCCAAAGCUGUUUGGUAACUGGUAUCAUAAGACACAUCCUUAAGCCUCAACAACUGAGACACUGCAGAUCGAAAAGGAUUGAAAAAUAAAUGUGACAACUCCUGUAGUCACAAAGACGUGUACCAAAACUAGCCACUUGCCCGUUCUUCCAAGUAAUCAUCUAUCUUGAUCUCGCUCAACAUAACUAAUUUUCCCCAAAAAAAGAGAGAAAAAGAUCUCGAUCAGCGUAACAGAAUCCAACUACCCCGAGAAGCAAAGCAACUACUAUGCACGAGCAAGAAAGUGUGUUGGAGCAAGGCAGCAUGCCGUUGCCGUGUCACAACUCACACGCACGUACGUACCUGGUCGUAGUUGAGCACCUCGUCGGUGGAGUGGUCGACGGCGGCGAUGGUGCCGAGGGGCUGGCCGCGGAAGGACACGAGGGAGCGGCGGAGCGCGUCCCAGGCCUCGCCGACGAGCGGGUGGGGCUCGAACGAGAGCCGCGUGGACGAGGCCGGCGUGCCGCAGUAGGACCGCAGCCCGCCGCCGGGCGAGUACAUGCUCUCGUAGCUCUCCAUCAUCCCGCCGCCGUACCCCCAUCCCCCGCGGCUGCCGGCGCCGGAGAGCGAGAGCUCGCUGAGGGAGCGGUCGUCGAACGAGCGCUGCCGCUCCACGUUAAUCCGCGGCUUGUGGUUCAGCAGCCGCGUCAGGUCGAAGUCGUCCGGGUCCGCCAGCGACGCCUGCGACGACGCCUUCCGCAUCGCCGCCGCCGCAUCCAUCUCGUACGCCGCCGCCGCCGUCUUUGCGGCUGGGUAUUACCUUGCUAUGCCUGCCCGGCCGCGCGACGAGGAUGAUAGAAGCGACUCGACCGUUGCGCCGGCGAGACGGCGGCUAAGAGGAAGCGGGGGCGGAAAGCUGUGCGGAGCGAGAGAGGCCGAGCUUGUAUACGCCUCGCCGGAGCUUCGGAUUUGCUUUCCCGUCGAGUCGUAGUCGUAGUCGGAGCCGCGUCGCGCUGCAGAGUCUGGCUCUGCUCCGGCGCGGGAAGGGGUUGCGGUGGGGCGGGUACAUAAAGUGCUCGGGCGCCCGGCGGAUGACGUGUGGGGACGGGCAAUGAGCGGGCCCACGUGCCGGGGAGAUGAAGGUGGUCAGCGUCGGAUCUUGUGGGGCCGGCGCUGAGGUGGCGCGGCGUCCGAGUGGGAUUGCCUCGGCUUCGCUUGCCGUUUGCGUGUGCCUGCUUUGGGGCGGUGGCGAACAGAGGUUGCCUGCCUGGUUUGUUAGCCUGUCUGAGAGAAGCCGGGUGAUGUUCAUCGGUGACGCCGAAUGACUAAGGGAUGACUCGGUUUCUCAACGGAAUUCUUUUCCAGGAUUCUCAACAGAUUAUGGACGAACAUAAAAGCGAGCAUGCAUAUAGUUCAGGGAGUUUUUCUGUUGAGGAGUCUUUGUGGCCGUACACAAAUUCGCCAACCUAUCCCCCGUGCAAAGUCAUUCAACUAAACAAAUUCUUCUGAAUAUAUUUUUUUAAUUAUGGAUUUUCCUAAUGCGUCUCGAGAUUGGUGUUAUUUGUAUCAUAAUACCUCCGCACCUUAAGGUAGAAAUGGGUGGGAUGGUUUAUAUACCAACCAGCAUACCGGUGGAGGCAGGCAAGCUAGCCACUUCAGCCUUCCUCUUUUUCUUCAUCUCCCUCCUUCCCUUCUUCUUCUCUUUGAUCAAUACCCCAAAAUUGCAUGGGGCUGAACUAUGCUUUGCCUCAGCAGCAUAUAGAUUUCACGCUUCCAAAAUGUGGAUUUUGCCUCAGCCUCAGUAGUAUUUGUUAGUUUUCGAAGGGUUUUCCUAUCCGAAUAACAUAGUGAGAGCGUUGAUACAAGGAGUUCCCCAAUGCAAGGCUCGAUGACGUCAGUGGACAGUUUUGUUUUGCACAAAUUUUUCCAUUGAUCGCAAGAUGCAUUGAAUGCCUGAGGCUGUAGAUUGCCUAUCCGCAACGGCACCAGACAAUCUUCUACAAGGAAACAGAGUUUCCUAAACUCUCGGUUAUCCCCUCCAUUCCAACCCUGUAGUAUCUUCGACUAUCAUAGGCACAUCACUUUGUGCAUGUUUACCUGACGACUUCAGACAUAAACUUCUCUAACUUGCCAGCAGUCAGAGCAGAACGACUGCUCUCUGAGCAUAUCUCGAACCGAAUGAUUCGAGAAAUCAAGUGCUAUCUGCGAUAAUAUCAACAUGACCAAGGGCCAUCAGUCCCCACGAAAUAAUUUGCUGGAUCGUUUAAUCAGUUCAUGCCCUCAGAGCGAGUAAAUGCGGGUCACAUCGUGUGGGUUCCGAGCGCACAAUCUCCACAGAAGAGAAGAUGAAACGGGUAACAAAUGUAUCAUUGCUGAAAAGGAAACCGGGCGAAAUCAUUCCAGAAACAUUAAGCACGCAGAAUGUGAUCGUUUGCGUUUGGUCAGAGAGCCCCUGUUAUCAUGCACCUAGGUUCGUACGAGACGGGACGGAACCGUGGGAGGAAGAUUGCAGGCCACGGAACGGCCGGGGCUCUCAAUUAUCAGAGCAGGUCAGUAGUGUCUGCGUGUCCGUAGAUGCGUGAGAUGAAAUCACGGAGAGGAGAUUUUUUUGGUCAGGAUUCGUGAAACGAAGCUUGUGUUUUGUACGGGAGCUUUGGCACCUAGGAGUUCCAGAUACGGGACAACACAAAAGAACGGUCUCGUUCUCGUGAUCUACAAGUAUACGGAUGCCCUGCGACGUAAUUUGGUCUGAUAAUAACUUGACCGCGAAUUGUGAACGCGGCUAUAGGUCUUCGUUCUGCGCAUCUUUUGGGUUGCUGUUGUCGUCGAGCAAAUUAUGGAGGCGAAAACAACUCCUGCCACUGCCAUGCCCUUCACGUUCCUGAAUCGAUGAUACCACCUGCGAGCCCAGCCGUUGGUUUGGUUCACAGUCCUCACGCUGUUUUAUGCCUUGACGCUGCUGCUCCAAAACCGGGUGCUCUGCUCCGGCAACAAUACCGCGCGCGAACCGGAGGCUCUCCAUGAGCUCCGUCGCCUCCGCCCCGGCAGCUACACGGGCCACCGCGAGCGGACGCGGCGAGGAGCGGCCACGUGGAGCCGCGAGGAGCUGGCUGCCGCCGGUGGCGUCCCUCUUGACCAGGAACCCUCCCAAAAUGUCACGACGGCGACCGGCGGAAUGAUGGCCUCCCGGCCCCGUUCGACGUGGCCGUUUGUCCGGCACAACAGUUGCAUGAUUCGACGGAGCCGAGCAUGAUUAGUCAUCAAGCGGGGUGUCACGACCUUAUUACUAUCAUUGGGCGCGCGCCCUGCGUUGCUCGUGAUCAUGCCGAAUGGUCAAAGGGCCGUGGGCCGGCCUUCCAGUACCUUCGCGAGGACAAGAGUAUCAUCUGACCUCACAGGUCACAGCUAGCUAGGUCCUGCUCCUUCAGAAGCUACGGAGCAUUGCCUGCAGGCCAUGGAAGCCCUUGUUCACUUCACUCCCAACUCCCAACUUUCACACUAUGCAAAAAGAAGAUUCCCCAUCACAUCAAACUUGCGGUACAUGCAUGGAGUACUAAAUGUAGAUGAAAUUAAAAACUAAUUGCACAGUUUUGUUGUACUUUGCGAGACGAAUCUUUUGAGCCUAAUUAGUCAAUAUUUGAAUAAUAAUUCACAAAUACAAACGAAACGCUACAGUGUGCUACAGUGCUGUAACAGUAAUUUGGCACCUCCCAAAUUUACGAAGUAAACAAGGCCGAAGCCAUGGAGCAGAACCCGAGAGACCAUAGCCGAUGCGAUGGCGACCCCAACAGAGUGGGGCCAUGUUUAGUUACUCCCAACUCCCAACUUUGACACUAUGCAAAAAGAAGAUUCCCCAUCACAUCAAACUUGCGGUACAUGCAUAGAGUACUAAAUGUAGAUGAAAUUAAAAACUAAUUGCACAGUUUUGUUGUACUUUGCGAGACGAAUCUUUUGAGCCUAAUUAGUCAAUAUUUGGACAAUAAUUCACAAAUACAAACGAAACGCUACAGUGUGCUACAGUGCUGUAACAGUAAUUUGGCACCUCCCAAAUUCCCCAACUAAACAAGGCCUGGGUUGCCUGCUGCGAAUCGCAGCACAGCUUGUUGCAGGUCCUAACCGAUCUGGCGUGUAGAGGAGGUCGGUGACCAGGUCACAGGUCGUCUAGCUAGGCUCGCAGCGCGCCGACCUCACGUGCGCGCGCGCCCGCGCGACGCGACCACCACCGCUACCGGGGAGGCGGGGACGCGCGCGGCGGCGGUCACGUUUGGAAGGCCAACUGCCAACCACCCCCACACUCGCUGCUGCAGCCAGCAUGCAGCGUCCCGCGGCGCAGGGCACCCUCGGCGGCGCGGUUCUGGCCUUCUGGGCACUGGACGGGGCGGGAUGCGGUUUCGCUAGAGCGUGCAUCAGUGCAUGCACGCAUCCGCAUCCUCAGGGUGGCGCCGGCGCCGCGGCGAUGCCCUUACCGCCGGGGCACGGGCACCACGCUUCUCCGGAUCACUCAGAUUCAGUGCUCCGCAUCCACGCAAUCUCCUGAACCAGUGUAUGAACGCGAAUGGCAUCUCGGACGCUCGCUUGGAUCGGGACCCCGGCACGCACAGACCGAUUAUACGUCGAGCCGGACAGCAGUCCACGUCGGAUUUUUAUCGCAGGGUACGGCCAGCGAUCGAUCGAGCAGCAGGAGCUGGCCAGAUGGGUGUAGGAGCACGGCUGCAUUUGAUUCGGAGGUAGAGCUUCAACCUCACGGAGAAGACUACUGACAAGGAUGGGAGGCUCCGCAAAGCAGGAACUGGUUUUGCAUUUCCCCUUUCUGUACGAGGGCUUUGAACUUAAGAACCUUUUUGCACAAGCGUGUUUUUCCGGUUCCUAACCCCUACGAUAUACUCCCAGGGUCGGUCCUGAAAUUUAGAAGGUUAGGACGAAAGUAAACUCGGACCCUUUAAUAUAAACAUUAUAACAAAUAUAUAUGACAUUAUAAUAAACUCGGGGCUCUUUAAUAUAAAUAUUAUAACAAAUAAAUUUGGGCCAUUAAAUACACAAUAAAACAGUUGAGAUUAAAUAACUUGUGAUAGUGAAUUAAUAAUUAAUGUUACAGAGAAUUGGAGAAUUGGCAAUUGAAUCACCUGAUCACAGAAGCGAAUUGGGGCCAAUCGCAGGGUCCGCAAGCAACAAGCCAACAAGCCGAGAACCGACGACGCACAGGGGUUCUCCGCCCUCGCUGAGCGCUUCCUCGCCGUGCGCUCAUUCAGAAACACCACCUCGUGGUCACCAACGUGUGCAACUGCAUGCAUGCACGCACGCCGCAGAUUGGUCAGGAACAGUGAUCGUCGGCCCGCGGGGGUUGUGCGCGCGCGUGUGUAUACAGCGAUCGAGCAGCGUACCUGGAUGCCGGUGCAGUCGAAUAGGAACAGCCUGCCCUGAGGCUGUCCGUAGUCGACGUGCACGAGUCACGAGUGCACGACGCGAGCACGCGGUGGCAGCCUUGGGCGGCGCUCAACUGGUCGAGUACUCGAGUGUAGAGUUGGAUGAUUGGAAUUCACGCACACCACCCGUAUGCCUCCAUCUCGAAUCAAAACGGGCCAGUGAGCUCGAGAGUGCAGCCUCAUGCGGAGCAUGCCGAUCAACUCCGCGAGCGCCGCCGACGCCGACUGGUCCGCCGCCUGCGCGUGAGUCACCAAUUAACCACUCGUGAUCAAAUUGGAUCUAAUCGUGUUUUAGGCCAUAAGCACACCUGACAUUGUCAGGGGUGGGGCCCUGGGAUUUGGGGGCUCGGGGCGGCUGCCCCCCGGGCCGGCUCUGUAUACUCCAUCUCCUUUUACUAGUGGCAUGUUUGGUUGGAGGUAAUUGGUCCGAGGGAAAAUGGUUGGAGGUAAUUGGUCCGAGGGAAAGGGAGUUUAGAUAUGAGAGAAUAAAAUUCUCUUAUUUGUUUGAUGGGUAUGGGAGUUUUAAUGGGAUAAGGAAUAAGAGUUUAGAGGGGCAACUUCCACCAAUUACUUCCCAGGAGGGGUGAGAAUUAGGUGAGAAUUUAUUUUAAGUGGAAGAAGGAUGCAUUAUACCGUUAAUCAUGACUUAAGAUAUAAUUUCCCACCUCUAAACCCUUAUACCAAAUAAGGGAUAUGAAGUCUCACUUAAAUUCCCACUCUUUAGAGCAUCUCGACCUGUCUUCCAAUAAAUAUUUCCCAAUAACUAGUUAAUAGAGAUAUCCCAAUAUCACUUUCAUUGUUAUUGGAAGAGUUACUUUUGCAGUCUCCCAAUAAUCUCAUCUCAAUCCAACUACUGUAUUGGUAGGAAGAGUUGAGGUGAAUUAUUGGAAAAAAGAAAGGUAAAGGAAGAUUGCUGGAGCUUAUCAACUCCACCAAUAUGGUAGUUAGAUUAGAGAAAGGAAGACUGCUAAAGAUGCUCUUAAUUCCCUUCAAAUAUUCCCAAGUGAAAUUCACUCCUCCAACUCCCGCCACUAAUUCCCAUGCUCCUUGCCAAAUGCACUCCAGGAGUAUUACGUUAUGGAAAACUAUUUGUAUACGACCAUCAUUUUUUUUCUUAUUAUCACAAUUGCUACAAAAUCAAUGCUAUAUUAUAAUAUGUUUAUGAAGUGCGGAGUACUAAUCUAUCGAUAUAAGUUUCAUACACUAAGCUUUAUAUAUUUUUUUGACUUAAGUGAUGGUCCAAACUAUAAUGUUCGGCUUUUUUUUUUUUUGCCAAAAUGCUAACACGCCCUAAAAAAGAAAUUUGGAGCUACCCAAAUGUGGUAACUCCUACAUCUUGUUUUUAUCACUUUUUUUGGCCAGCCAAUCAAUAAAAAAAAAGGAAUACCAAAUCUUAGAUUGAUAAGAUGGCAGAGCUCCUGUCCUGAAGAAGAAAAACUCGAUGGAACGGCUACACAGCUGAACCUCUAAUAACCUUUCUCAACAAAAUGGUUCUUUCCAAUCUUUUAGUGACAAAAUGACAACCAGUAAGGAGCAUAGCAUCAUAGCACAAACUUUAUAUAUAUAUAUAUCCUGUAUUACUUGUACAAAAGUUGAGUAGCAGAGUAUGAUGGCAAAUAUAUUUUCACAGAAAAUGUUUAAUGCACAUGGUGAACUCUGAAAUGGCAGUUUCUAGAAUACACAAGCAGAGGCUAGUUUCUAAGCUCUAAACAACAAACAAAUUGAAGGACACAAAGUAGAACCGCAAACAGGCAAAAUGUAGAAGUUGAUGAUUGCCAAUUGAGAUUGAAGAAUGUCAACAUCAAUUUCUAAAACCACACUCUUCAGGAACCACGUCAGUUGAAAACUUGAGAUCUAACCUCUGAAUUGUCUCCUGGUAGAUUUGCUAGCUUAGAUGCAAAAAGCUCCCCAAGCUUCCAUCACUCUUCAUGAACUCGUCUUGGCUGAGGAGUAUCAUCUUGUCCAGCGAAAUACACCAUGACAACAAGAAGGGCAAUGACAAAUAUAAGGAUAUACAGCGAGUUCAGGCUGACAAGAGAGUUCAGGAAACCCAUGAAAGAAGGGCCAGUGACUUUCUUCUUUGUUGUUCUUCCUGCUCUGUAUCCCUCAAGGAAUUGGCUUAUUUGGGAUGCUAGGUCACCUUCUUCUAAUCUCUCUGAACCAUCCACCUUCACCAAGAAGCAUUUUAAAUCAAUCCCAGAAUAUAGUGAAUUCUCCAUUUGAUGAAGAUCAGAGUAAUAGUAGCAGUUUCUAUCUUAAUAAAGCCUUAACUUUUUCAGGGGAAUUUAGAAGGUCAAGAAACAAGAAAGAACAAGAUUAUGCUUGUCAUUGAUUAUGCUGGUGAGCCAUACCAGUAAGAAACAUGCCAAUAACACAAAGUAGUUUUGGUAUGGAUGCUGGUAUUAGAAAAUAGAAAUUGAUUACUGAGGAAGCUUUACUUACUAGUUCAUACUCCUCGUUUCUAUCCCACACCAGUAGCUUUGGAAGCUGCGAACUCUUGGAAACGUCAAAAGUCUCCACAAAUUCAUCCCAUUGCUUGAUUCCAACAUAUCCAAACACCAAAUCACGGUUCGCAGUAGCAGCAGAUCUCAAAACUUGCACUAGUUGUGUAGAAUUUUCAUCUGAAUCAUCCUCCAGAAUAGUGAGAACAACUUUCCUCUCAUCAUCAUUCAGCAUUUUUAGUGUCUCAGUAUUGAUUGGGACAACCAAAGGGAGCAGGGAUUGUCGUACAAAAUCUUCCAAGAAAUUUCCUAUGUCCAAAAAACAAUACCAUCAGUUAUGGGAAAAGCAAAAUGCCUAUGCAUUGCAUAUUCAACUGGACACAAGAUGAUAUAUAGCACUUCCAAUUACUUCUCAAACCAAGCAUCAGAACAUAAAGACUUAAGUCAUGACAACAAGAAAGGUAUAACAAAUACCUUCAAAUGGGCCAUAGAAUAAACUUUGUUCCUUAUACUGUGGAUGGAUUGCAACUAGUGCCGGGACCUUAUCAAACUCAUAGGUUACCAUGAUGUCCUCGGAGAAAUCUUUUGCAACAGCAAACCAAGCUCUUUUCUUGUAUUUCUUUCCAUAUUCAGCAAUCAGCGACUCAUUCACCCCAAAACCAAGGAAGAUAGGAAAGCUUGUACCAGCAUUCUCAACAAAGUUCUUUAUCGCAGUGUCUGACUCAAGGAUAGAAACAUCUGGCGAAACAAAUUUCUUCAGAUUGCGGACAAGCUGGUCAGCUUUCCGCGAACCAGUGUAUUCAAUUGGGACACCAUGGAUAAAAAGCAUCAGGGUAGGGAACCCACUGCAUUUAUAAACUAAAAAGCAUUAGGCAUGAACUUUUCAAAAGAAAAGCAUUAGGCAUGCAAUGUAAAAUUCUCCACUCCCCAGUGAUAGAUACUUAGGCACAAGAGCUUACUCUACUCCAUAUUUUGAUCCAAGUUUCCUGUAUUUGUCAGCAUUUACUUUGGCAACUACAAUGGGUUCACUCAACCCUGCCAAUACCGGCGCAGCUUCAUCUAACUGCAUCAACAAAAAGGCAAUAAUAUCAUAAGUUCACAACAAGGUAACUCACUGGCAGUUCCUGGCUUUUUAAUACAAGUGCAAGUAAGCAAAGUGUAUCAUUUGAGAAUCUAUUAACGGGCCACAAACAUACUGUAUUAGCACUUAGUUUCUUUUCUUCCAUAAGCUAAUCUACUGUGAUGUCACACACUAUCUCACUGUUUAUUUAAUAACUGAAUAAUAACAGACCUUGUUCAAAAAAAAAUCGAAAACAUAUCCUAAAGAAAUAGUAAGUUCUGUACUCUCCCAACUUCUCCCUAAUUUGCUUCAUGGGACCACGCAAAGAACAUGCGAUCCCGGAAUCCCAAUCAAACCACUCCAAUAGCACUAACGGAGGCAACAAGAUCCACAGCGACAACCCCACGGCAUCCCGACACCCAGCACAUCCCAAUUCGCAUCGCAUCUCGCAGGGCUAGCACCAGCAGCAAGUUGCAGGUCGGCAGGUCUAGCGGGCAGGUCAGCGCUCGUACCUCGGGCGCGAGGCGCUUGCAGUGGCCGCACCACGGGGCGUAGAAGUCGACGAAGAGGAAGUCGAUGGCGCCCAGCGCGGCCUCGAAGUUGCUCUCGUCCAGGUCGAUCACCCGCCCGUCGCGCGAGAACUCCUCGCCCGCGGCGGCGGUGGCGCGGGCUGAGAGCGGGAGCAGCAGCAGGAGGAGAGGAAGCAACGCCGGCGGCAGGACUCGAGUCGCCAUCGCCGUGGCGGGCGCUCGAUUCGAUCUCCGCCGCGUCGGAAGGAGGGGCACGGGACUUGACAAGUUUACGAGGGCAAGGGGUUUAUUGGGGAAUAAAUUCCCAUUUACCCUUCUUCUGAAUCUGAUAUUUUUUUAUUCUUUUUUUCUUGGAGAAGAUAUUUUUUUUGUCUGAAUUUGAGCCCCACCUUAAUUUUAGAUCCUUUGUACUUUCGAAACGAUUUGGAUGUCCGUGCACAUCUUUUUGCUGGUUCUAUUUAUCUACUAUAUAAAAAAUUAAAAUCAAAUUUAAGAACACCCGUGUUUAUUUCUGUUUCUAAAAAGCUCCUAAGAAGUACUCCAGUAAGGUAAUUUUCCAAACCUACAAUUUCAGCAAUAUUCUGCAGCUAAAAACCGCAUGGUCACCGUCACCGAAACUUUGCUCCAGCAAAUGCCACGAGGACCACCACGGAAUCUCAUAUCCAGAAUCAAUCCAGCCCCGUUAUAUUCCACGAUUUCCGUCUACAUAGACAAGCGACACCUCAAAAGGUAACACCAGCUACCCGUGCUCAGCACAAGUAGCGUGACAAAGAAACCGCACGCCAAUAAAUGAUAUCACUGCUGAGGUUUCUCCACAGCCUGGAAAGUUCAAGCCACGAUAUUAUUAACAGAAAGUUGCGUCCUACAUCAAAUGGCAAGAAACGAGGUUGCAGCUUUCUCGUAAGAAAACCGGUAACAAGUAACAACCAAGGCAGAAUGAAGUGCAAGCUUUUAACUUCACAAAAUGUUGUUGAAAAUAGGUCUCCAAUAUGUAGGCCUCGAAAGCAUGAUAGCUCAACCUGAGGCGGUCUUCUUCUGCUGGAAAACGACUGCGUACACAGGGACGCCAACGCCGAUGCUAACUGCUCCCAGCACAGAAAGAGUCGCUUUCAACCCCUGAUGCUUCAUCCUGUGCAAGUUGUAC